rnacentral:lncRNA from 1 species
UCGAGUGUAAUAUUUUUGAAAGCCCAGUUAGUUGCGUUUUUGGCUGAUAAUAUUGGCCCAUUGAAUGCCGAAAACCCUAGCUCUGUCUCUAUAAAACGAUGCCCAACGACUGCAUUCCACAGUCAACCCCGCCCCUCAUCUUCAUCUAGGGUUUAGUUUCACUCUCCCAGCCUCCAAAUUGCCCUGUAGUUGUUUCAAUGGUCGAAAGCUAGUUUUUUGUUUGAAAUGAGUUGAUGAGAGAAAGAGAUGGCGGUGAUGACCCAAUGAAAUUCAAGCUCAACAGACCGGAAUGCAGGCUUCUCUUUCAUAGAGAAGUUUGCGUGUCGACAACCCCGCUGAACUGAGCCAUCUCUUUCCCUUUCUCAUUUGAUUGCCUAGAGAUUCGUAUGCUUUUAAUUUAUGAUUUUCUGUGAAAAUUGUUUUUAGUUAUAAAUUUUCGUGGGAAAGGGAAUUGCUAUGAGGAUACCAAGCUCCCUCUUCUGAGUUAAAGUUGAGGAAAAUUGCUGGCAGAAUCGAACCUAAUUAUUAUAUCGCCACCACUGAGUUGAUUUCACUUUCCCACUUGAAACUUUUUGUGUGAUGUUUGUUUGUGUCUGUUUUUGAAUUCUAGUUAGUCAUGGAUCGUAGAUUGGGAUGAAGCAAUCAUAUUAUCCAACACUUGAUCUGAGAUAUUCAAUAUCGAGUGAUGCUAACUGAUACACUUCUGAAUCUAAUGUCUUGAUUUGCUUUUGAUUUUGUGUUUUUGAAUCCUAUCAAAAUUGUUUUGAGAUGGUUUAGAAACAUUCAUCAUUUGAUGAGAUAUGGAAUAAUCUUAGGACACCUUCCUACACAGCAUAAAUUUUGCUGUGGAUGAGAACAACUUUCCAUUCUGAUGAUGAUUUUUGUUAUUUGUUCUUGUAUAACACACACAUUCCCCUAUGAUUUUUGAACUUGUGCAGGUUGAUUUGGAGCUUUCAGCGGCGAGUAAGAACUUGGUUGCUGUAUUAGAUUUGUAAAGAAUUGUUUUUUGAUGUUUUUAAUGUAACAUUUCAAAUCAUCAAUAACAAUUCGGUGACACCAACGAUUUCAUUUCUACUGAAACUAAUUUGUAUUGUGGGUUUGGACUCUUAAGUGAUUUUGUGGGUCAUAAACUGGGCCUUUCAAAUUCGAAUUCAUGUGAUGGGCCCUGGUGAAUGAUUCAUUGUGGCAUUCUAAUAUUCUGCUUUGUAUCCAAAUUGGAGUGAAACACUAUUGCAAACUUGGAUUCGUUUAAUCUCAACUGGGCAUCAAAUUUUUGGUUUGUUGAAAACAAUAUAUGCAAGAAAAUUGUUCUUUUGUAUACAUUGAUAGAAACUCAAUAGGUUCGAUCAUGCGUGUGCUUCUCGCAUGGGCUUGGUCAUGUGGCUUAAGUUAUUGGUUCAACCUGUUCGAUCCGGAUUCGACUAGUGACCCAAUACAAUACGAAUUUUGCCAAAGAAUGUUUUUUAAACUGAAUGAUAUAAUCAGACAUUCUUCAAUGUGGAUAUUCGUACGUUAUUAUUGUGCGGAUGUUAUGUAUUUUCUAUUAUCCCUCUCUGUUUCUCUCCAUUUACAAUUACUUUCGCAUGAUAAUAACGGCCAAACAUCUGAAUGAGAGAAUAUCUUAUGAUAUAAUAACAUUAUAUGUACUCAAUGGUGUAGUGGUGUUUGUGGAUCACUAGGCCCAUUUUAGCGUUGGCAAACGCGUCACAGCGAGGACUGCCCUACAUUUAAAGUCCCAUAUAUAUAAAUUAAGAAAAAUAAGCACAAAGCUCAGAUCAUGUAGCAAACUAAUGGGGAUUGGGCCCAAUUGGAGCUUUUAGCAUGUGCAAAAUCUGUGCAUGGCACUAACAUUGCUCUCUAGGUUCCAGACAAAACCAAAGUCCCAGCUAACAAGAAAUUUGUCUCUCAACUUGGUUUGAGGUAACCUUGUAUUGUAUGUAGUCAUCUCUUACAUUACAUUACAUUUUUUGCUUAAUAUUUACCUCAAAUUCCCCGAAUAAGUGAAAGUGACAAUGUGGUCCAUUCCAUUCCAUAUGUCUUAAGAUAUUUUGUCAGGAGCCCACAACCAGAACCGAGUCACCCACUGUCAAAGCCCUAAGUCCACCCUCAGAUCCCCAUCAAACUUUUGACAUCACUGAUCUGAUGUACACGUGUCGAGAUCAAGUCUCUUUCUUUAAAGGAUCAGGAUGAGCUUCAACUUCAUCCAAACUCCAACCCAAGAACGUGGAAAGUCAGAGUUAUUGCAGCCACUACACCGUCUCUCCCCCUCUCUCAAGGCUCAUCUCAACUAAAAGCAAAUUGCAAUGGUGCUGUUUGCCUUGCAUGCUUACGUUGCCACGUGCCCUCCAUGGCACCAAACCAACUUUGUAAAAGAUCCCGCGUUAAUUUCUACUCCUCCAACUCCCAGAAUAAGGUCAUGUUUAUAAUUUAGUUAGUUGAAACCUGAAAGGCGGUGGUGGGUGGGUUUUAUCUGUGGUGUCGUUUUAGUGGUUGGUUUUUGUAAAUUGUGGGUAAAAUUGUCCCAAUUGCCGACCUUUGAACCACAUAAACAUAGCUGUGCAUAGGCAAAAGCAUAUCCUAAUUUCUCUCUCUCUCUGAGACUCAGAUCAGUUAUCAUUAGGUAUUUAAUGUCGUGUCACGGGUGCGCUAUUGUGCGCAUCCACAUCACCCCCCAUUAUAAAUAGCAUGCACAAUCUCAUGCUAGCUUUUCCAACUACAAGAAGCUUCAAUUCAAACACACAAAAAACACCCAACUCAAAAAUGCAUCUCAAUUCAUUUCAAUUCACUCUCUUUCUCUUCCUUUUCAUCUCUGCUACUUCUUUUUCUUGGGCUUCUAGUGCUGCUGUUUUUGGUGGAAAAAAGGGCAGUGGUUCUAAGGACAUGUCUUCGGAGCUGAAUGCGGAGAACGGGCCGCCAACCAGCGGUAGCGGCUCGGCCCAUGGUCCCAACUGGGGCUACAGCUGGGGGUGGGGCGCGACCCCAGGAGGCGGGUGGGGUUACGGGUCUGGGUCUGGGAGAUCACCCGCUGGGUUUGGGAGGGGGUCUGGUUUUGGGUUUGGCUCUGGGUCGGGGUCUGGAGGUGGUGGAGGUCACGGUGGUGGCUAUGGGUCUGGUUAUGGAAGUGCCGGGGGCGGGGCUGGUGAAGGUGGAGGAGGAGGAGGAGCAGGAGGAGGAGGAGGAAACAACCAUGGCUGAGAUAUUGGCUGGGAGUAGUUCAUGAUUGUCAUGACCUCCAGGCCCAGUGCACUAUGAUAAGUAUUAAUUAUAGCUAGGUACAUGUGUAAGCUUUAUUAAUUAUAAGACUGCAAUAAAAGCAUUGCUAGUAUAUUUAAUAUGUUGAUGAGUUGCAAUACAAUCUACUCUCCCCAUCAUAUAUUAGACCUCAUGGUUUUAAUUUACAAGAUUCGUUUACGUUGUGUCAAGAACAUCUUUCUCAAUUUUUUUUUAAUGCAAGUAGAUAAACUAAUUUCCCUACACGCAUAAUUAAAAACUUGCACAAUUGAAAUAUUCAAUAGACUAUCGGUCACUCUUUGAUCUAAAGUAGGAUUUAUGUUAACUUGACGCAGGACGGAAAUCUUGGUUGAAUAGUAAUUUUACGUUGAAUAGUAUUUUUGAAGUUUCUAGUGUCUGGACUUAUGAUAUGGGAGUGACGAGACGAAGUCAAGUUAUAUUGUUUUACCAUGACAUAAGGGCAAUUUGGUAUUUUAAUAUAUUUGAUUAGGUUAAAAAUAGAUUUAAAGUUUUAUGGUUAUUUUCAUAAUUUUCCUUUUUGUUUCUUUCCAAACCCUAAUUUGGUAGUAGAACUAUUCAAGUGAACUUAAGAGUUUCUCUUAAUUGUCUUGUGGAUUCCACAACUUUUAAGGUGACCGCUUAAGAUCCCUUUGUUACCGGUUAGUUUCGCUGCGUCAUAACCAAACUGCAAAGACAAAUUCUCCAUAUGUACAACAAACCACCAUUUCUAGAGUACCAAAAAGCAGAGAGACUAAAAUUUAUGAACAAAAGUCAAAAUCAGAAGAAAAGUACAUAGGAAAUAUGCGGGCACAAGCAAAGCAAAAGCUCGAGCGCAUUACAAGUUUGAUUGGGCUCAAGCGAGAAAGCUUUGACUUCUUCUUUUGACACCAUAUAGGCUUUUCAACUAUACACCCAAGCUCAGGUCAAAUGGGCUUAAGCCCAUAUAGACCAAAAGUGAUACAUAAACCCACAUCUCCCAACCUUUUUUGAUUUUUUUUUUUUUAACAAAACAGAGAGAAAAAUACGGGGACUAAACAGCAAGCUGUUUUUGAUGGGCGGAUUCAUCUUCAUUGAAGGAGCAAUGAAGCUUUAGACGUCUGGCCAAAUUCAGAGGAGAUUCUGCUACAUGCAGAGGAGAUUGCAACAACAUUUCUCUUUGAAGAUAAGAACAGUAGGUGUAAAAAGUUGCAGGUGUGACAUUCAAUUGGAAGCCCAAACCAAACAAGAAGUCCACCUCAAGAAGGUUCAUCUCUGCUGUGCUGAUCCCUCCAACUCUAGCAUAAUAGGCAUUGUUGUAAUAUCUGCAACAAACAAACCCAUGUAGAUAAAAAUGAUUAAUUAUAUUUCUAACCAAAGAGCUUGAAUAAUUAAAGUAAUUAAUUUAAUUAAACCCACAAGUUAAAUAUACAACUAUCAUAUCAUUGCUGUCAUAUUGGACCACCACAUGGGUUCUUUUCUUGCUGGCAUUGCAAACAAAGAGAGUGAGCUGAGAAGCAAAGUGUGUGUGUUAUGGCAAAUGAUUGAUAUUUUGGCUAAAAAUCCACAUGGCCUUUGAUUGAGCUGUCAUUAGCAUCAAUAAUGACAGAUUAUCUGUCAUGCUCGCAUGGAAUUUUACACCACAUCUUAGGUGGGCUUUGUCUAGUAAAAGACGGAGGCCUUCACAUGCCUCAUCUCUUUCCCUCCUUUUGGCGGUGGUUGCUUCCAAACGGUGAUGCCAUUAACAAUUAGGAUAUGAACCUCAUUUUGGAAGAACAUGGAACCAACUUGUUUUCCAAGUCUUCCAUCACUUGUUUUAUGUGCGUAUGUGACACAAUUCAUCAGAACAGAAAGAAAAAAAAAAGAGAUUGGUUUCAAUCAAAACAAUCAAGAACUGAACAAGAAGAUGACCAAAUUAUAUAAUCACACAGAGAAAGAGACCAUGAAAGUAUAAAUUCAACUCAACUUAUGUUCGGUAAAAAGCUUGAAUCUUGAAACUCAUAGAAGAAGGAACCCAUUUGCUUAACUAUGCAAAACCCAGAACUAAAAUCCUACCAAGAAGAUCAAGCAUUUCAAGCAAGUAGAAAAAGAAAAAGAACCCAAAUUCAAGAAACUAAAGCAGAAGGCUGGCUUACAUGUCAUCCAUGAACUUUGCAGAGACCAAGACGCUGGCGAUGAGCAAGCGGUGGACAUUGAAGGAAUCGAUAGGCAACAAUGGCUGCGUCUGAGUGAAGCGGUCGAGGUAGACGUAGGCAACGACGAAGCAAGAGGGGCUGCAAUCUGCGUACUUGAAGAUCCUCUGGAGGUAGCUGUGGAUUGUAAUGGUGGGUGUGGUGAGGCUGUGGAAAAGCGACAGCCUCUGGGUCGGCUCGAACCCCCGGCUCAGAUCGUUGGAUUUGGCCACUCGCUCGAGAACUGAGGACAUGAAGUCUAUCAUUCUUGGCAUGGCCUCUGGGCUAGUGCUCUCAACCUGAUCAGCCAUUGUUUUGCCCUGUUUCUGUUGGCUGCUUCUUAUUUAUAUAUGUAAUAUUAGGAUGCGCUUGUGUGGUUACGUGUCUGAAGGGUUGCAUUUUCUUUCUGGUUUAUAUAUUAGAAAAGAUUUAGUGAUCAUUGAUUGUUUAUGUUAGGCAUAAAUAAUGGGUUUAGCUGCUGCUGCUGGCUGGUGAUAGAAAAGUUGUUUGUGGGGGCACGAAAGUAGGGCUAAUGACUUGACUUGUGAAGGAAAAUACGUGCUUUGUGUGUGAAAUAAUUGGGAUUUGUGAUGGAUCAUGAUUCAUGAUGGUUGAAGAAGAAUCUCAAGUGCCUUUAGCGAGUAUUUUCUUUUCUUUUUUUAACUAAAAAGAAGUGAGAGAAUGAAUUCAAACUUGAGUGCGAAGGUAAAUUUUAAUGAGAAUUAGGGGGAAAUGGAAAUGUUUCACAAAGUCUUUUUAAUGUGUACUCUAAAUCCAAUAAAGUUCAUGUUGUCCCUCACUCUACUUCUUUGUCUUUAGGGGUUAGGGUGGUUUAAAAUGGCAUAAUCUUUAGAAGUAAAGGUGAAGACAUAGGCCAACUUGCUAUGUAAUUUCCAGCUACAAUAAUUCUGAACAAAACUGACUUUUUCCACUGUGGAUAUGGACUUUAAUCAUCACAAGUUCACAACAAUUGCCAGCUUUCCUUGCCAAGCAAACAAAAAUCAAAAUAUAAAAAUGGCAACAAGCUUUCAUCAAUAUAUAUAUAAAAUAAUAGUAAUAAUAAUAAUAGAAUAUGAUGACCCCAUUAUUUGUGAAGUGUGAUUGCAGUAAUUCCUCAUCCACCUUCACCUUCUGGCUUUUUCUUGGAUGACAGCUUGUUUCUUUUAUGGAUUACAAUUACAAUUUCCCCCUUUUUUUUUUUUUUUUUUUUUUUUUGAAAUGAAAUACUGAAAUCAGCCUUUUUGAUUUUAGCAUUUCUAAUAACAAUAAGAAACUUUGCUCAAAAAGCUCUAGAACGUCUAAAAAAAAAUUUGACUAGCAACUUUCCUAACAAUAACCACCAAACUGAUGAAUGAUUUAUUGCAGCAAAAAAAAGGGAUCUUGCUUUCAAGUUUCAUGUAGACCCAGCCAAGCCAGCCCAAUUACGAUCGACCAUGAUGCUGAUUUGAUAUCAAAUAAUUGUUAAAUAAACAAAGAGGGUACGUAGCAAGAGGAUUGACCAAAGAAAGAAAGAAAGGAAAAGAAAUAGGAUAGUCUGUUCGUGCUCAUUAACAUGCUGGCACUCACUGUUUUGAUCUCUGCAAUGACCGUGCCGUCACGUUUAUUCAAAACGAAUGUUGAUUUCAUACUCAGUUUUUAUUUUAGUUUAUAAUUUGGAUGAUUUGUAACUUGAAUGCACGUAUCUAUAAAACUUUCAAAUGUUUCAAAACAACGUAUUUCAAUAUUAGCAAGAUUGAGGGAGGAAGAAUCGAACAUAGAACCUUUGAUAAAUGUUUCAAGACAACGUAUUAUCUAAGUUUAUUUUAUAGGUGCAAUUUGCAAAGUUAGUCUUUCUUACUAUAUAUACAACAAGGGUGGAGUGUAAAUUUGUGGAUGCUUAUAAUAUUAAGACAUAUUAAGACUCAUAAAUGAAAGGAAGGGGAAGGGAAGGGAAGGGAAGGGAAGGGAAGGGCAAAGAAUGUGGCCCCUUCACCAACCAUGUGUUCUUUCUUAUGUGAACCAACACCUAACUGCUAAUUCAAAUAGCAAACACAUGAUUACUCAAGCAUAACAAUUCUACUAAUACUUACUCAAUACAACAAGUGACUGGAUCCUUUAUUAGUCUUUAUUGUGAUUGAAUUGAACACCACUUAGAUUAGAUGGGGUUCUCUUCUCUCUGUGGCUGCUUUCAUACCUUAUAUUUAUGGGGUAGGAGUGGGUCUCAUGUACCUUAGAAUGUGACCUUGUACCUACCCACUUUGAAUAGAGUUUUCCACAAAUAGAGGGAGAAAUGUGUGAAUUGGUCAUACAAAAACAUGCCACUUAUUCAGAAUCUUAGCAAGCCCGUGCUCACAUGUAGUGCAUCUUUCUACUUAUCCAUGCUUCCAGUUAACCUUUAGGUUCUGAUUUUGCAGGGUAGCUAGCUCCUUACCCAGAUGCAUCAUGCAUGAGACUAUCUUCCAUGGUCCCUUCGCCUUCUUCACCUUUAUACAGAGUCACGACUAGGUCAGUCUAGGGCAUGCCGUACUUACUAGGGCAGACUGGCAUGCCGUAUGCGACCAUGUGAGGCUAUGCAUUCUUUUGGUUGACAUGGCUCAAAUAUAGUGUCUAGCCUCACUGGCCUCCAAGCACACAAUGCUCAUUCCAACAAACUUGAGAAAUUAACUUUGAUCAGGUUAAAAGCUUUAAAAGCUUCAAAAGCUCCAAUAGAAUUGGAAACCACAAUAAUGCAACAAGACAACUGGUGCUAUUAGUUUGACUUGCAGAGAAAAGAUUGCAUAGCUUUGGUCCUAAUAAUAAUAAACCAGAGGACUACCUGGAACAGGUAACAGUGCUAACAACAUGAAUUGCCAGACGGAACUAAAACAAAACAGUGGAGACAACAGCUCGGUUCCAAAUUUUCCAAUGGUGGUAGAUGACAACACUACAAUUUAUUACAAAUCCAAGCUCACAACAUGGAUACACCAUGCAUACUUACUAGACAGAGUAUGUAAAAGCUAGUUACAAGUCACCCAUAUGGACAAAAGCACCAACCUACGAACAAUACCGGGUAUGGCUUGUACGGUUUUACUUUCAAGGCAGUAGCAAAUAAAUUAGCCAUAGCAUCGGAUUGGAUCAUUGCAUCCUUUCUCAGUAGAUUGCUUAAAACCAAAACGGCCCCCUUUAGCAAGGUACUGCUGAUGAUACUCCUCUGCUCGGUAGAACUUCUUGGCCGGAAGAAUUUCUGUAACAAUCUUUCGGUUCAUUUUCUUCUGGUGUUGUUCCAAGGAUUCUUGUGCUACCUUCUCUUGCUCAGGUGUAUAGAAGUAUAUUCCAGAUCUGUACUGUGUUCCCACAUCAUUCCCCUGCCCAUUACAUAUGGAAAAACCCUCAUGGUUACUUCAGCCAUAAGACAAAUGUACUCUUUGGAUCACACUCUAGUUAAGAAAAUCAAAUAUCACAUACUUCGAAUUUCUAUGAGAAUAAUCAGGACAAAUCUAUAAAUAUAAAAUCAAUGUCUAGGUGUAGCUUAUGGAUAUGAGAAAAUAGAGCCAACAAAAGACAAACCAUUAAGAGAAAGAGGGAUUUAGGGUUUAUGAAAUCAUAAGCAAGGCUACUGUUACAGUAAUCAUAUCUCUAAAAAAAAUAAAGUCCGGUCAAUCCCAAUGCUCUGCUAUCAUAAAACUGAGAUCUCGUUGACAAUGCUGCUACAUGCAACUCAUUGAAUUCUAACAACAUAAGAACAGUUAAAUUUGAUGAGUAAAGUAGGACUAACUGCUUCAGUACAAGAAGUUGUGCGGUCAAUUACAAUCUCCUUUUCUCACACACUGACACAGUUAUCUACAGGGCAAAACAAGAAAAGCCCAAAAAUUAUCAAUCAAAGUUUUGUCCCUAAUUCAUCAAUAAAACACACAAAACAUAUCAACCACCAAACUACUAAAAUCAAAUCUUGAUCCUAUCACACAAGCAAUUGAACAUAUUUCCACAAUAACCAACCAAACCCCAACAAAACAACCCAAAUAAAUUUUUAUUUUAUUUUUUUCCAGAGAAAAAAUUCAGAACAACUCACCUGGCGAUUGAGCGUGGUGGGGUCAUGCCUGGACCAGAAGAGAUCAAGCAGAGUCUCAAAGUUACACUCUUUAGGAUCGUAUUGCACUCUCACGACCUCAGAGUGGUUGGUGGUGCCCGUACACACGUCCUCGUAAGUCGGGUUGUGCAAGAACCCUUGGGUGUACCCAACCUCUGUCUUGGUCACGCCAGGUAUUCGCUGAAAGGCCAACUCGACACCCCAGAAGCACCCGGCUCCAAACUGGGCGAACUGCUGACCUGGCGCCGGAACGUCGUCGUCUGGGCCCAGAGGGAUGGAGGAAGAAUCGGAGGUGGGGUCGGAGGUCUUUGGGCCGAAGCCGAGCUUGUUGAGGAGGUUCAUUUGGGGCUUGUUGAAAGAGAUGGGUCUGUGGGUUUGUGGGAAGGGGGAGGUGAGUUUGUUUUGGAGUUUAGAGAGAGAAAGGAAGGGCUUAGAGAGAGAGAGUUUAGGGGUGGUUAUGGCGGUGGAGAUGAGUGGUGAAGUGGUGGAGAUGGUGGCUAAGGUUUUGAGCAUUUUCGGGUGUGACGUGUUGGUUUUAUUUCGGGCUAAAGUGAGAGUUUCGUCUUGGGAGGUAGUUAUUCACAAUUAUUUUUUUAAUCGAAAAUGAAAAUUAUACAGAAUAUUUUGCUUUCUUUUCUGGCCUAUGGAAAUUAAAACGAUGGUCUUCUUCUCCAAGAUUUUCUUCAACUUAUUUGUUUUGUUUCUGUUCAGGAAUUGUGUGGCGCCUUCUGGCAACUUGGCGGGUACCUACCCACACACAUGAGGUGGGACCGCGGGAGGAUAAGAAUGGAAAAUACAGGUUGUUUAAGAAAAAGCAACAAGUUUCCUCUUUUAAACAAUGUUGGGAGACCAUUACUUUCACAAUCACAAUGUCAUCAAGAAAAAAAGACCAAAUAAUAUUAAGGUCUUCCAAAGCAUUGUUCAGGGUUUCUGUUUCUUUUACAACUCUUUUUUGGUUUUCUUUCUUUACAAGUUGAAGAGUAGAAGAAAGUCAAAGCUUUGGUUUGAUGUAAGCAAUGUCGGUUUAACCAAAAUGACAUGCUGUUGGUAGUGGUUAAUGUAGCUACAACUACAGAUUAGAUGAUAAUAAAAUCAAUUAUAGUUGUAUUUGACCCGUUUCUUUGUGUAGAAAACGAAAGUUUACAUCUAUUCUUUAUCAAAGAUUCUUUCUUUCCUGAUCUAAUACAAUCAUAUACUAAAUUAGCACACCAAAACUAAGGAGAUUUGGAAAUUUUUGUUAUUUCAAAAACUGCAGCUGCUAUAUAUAUUCAUACAAGGACUCACAUUUUAACAUCCGUAUAUAGCAUGGAAGCUAUAAGACCUAAGAUAGCCAAAAGAAAGACAUUAGGUCCACAGUUGAUGAAUGCACUUGAAGUAGGAACGUUGCUCUUAGAAGUAGGUUGUGGAAGAUGAUCCCCUUGGCCGGAACCAGUUGCUGCCUGUGGUGCGCCAGCCGGCGCAUAAGCUUGGUUGUUUUCUACUUCUGCAUGGAGCUUCAUCCCUCCCAAGCAGUAUAGCUUGUUACCACUCACAAAAUACCAGUCACCAGCAUGUGUCAAUGUGACCGUUGUGUUUCCCCCUGUAUAUGAUUUCACAACAUUGGUUGUGUUGCAACUCUCAAAGCUUUCUUUGCUCACUUGACUAACACUAUUAGAUGAUGAGUAUUGGAACCCUGCAACCAGAAAUAAACCCAAAACAAAACAAAAAUUAAAGACAACAAAUUGCUUAAUUCAAAUUGAAUGUAUAGUAUAACUUUAACUUACACAGAAUAUCGCCAACGUUAAAUUUUUUGUCGUUGGACCAUGUAUUGAGGUCAGUGCUUAUGUCCCAGCCAGAGGUGUCCCCCACUGUGUAAGUUGUAGCAGAGCAUGUCAAUGCAAAUCCAAGGACAGCAAGACCAAAAACAAGAACUGGAAGCAGCCUUCCCAUUUCAAUGGAGAAUGAGAAUGUAAUGUAAGAUGAGAUAAAACAUAAGACGGGGAUUUCAUUUUAUAGAUUUAUAUGUUUGAGGAUUUCCUAUUAUUAGAUGACCUAACUUCAACUGUGUGAAUGACUUGCAUUUUUUAUCAAUUCAAAGUACAUAUAUUGUUCCUCAUAAGCAAGUUGGUGAGCAGUUAAACACCUCCAACUCCAAACUCUCUUUUUGCCGACUUUGCCAACAACAUAUAUACUUGUUUGCUUUGUACAAGAAAUUAAGAUGAGAAAUUAGUUUGCUUGUGCAGACACUCAACACAAAUCUUGCACCUUCCAUAUUGCAAAUGUGAUUUAAGUGUUUCUGUAGAUUUUUCCUCAAAAUGAAAAGAAAAAACAAUCAAAACAAUCUUUUUUUUUUUCUUCCCAUUGACUCUCAUCAUAAUUAUGGAAUGAUGCGCCAAUUUUUUUGGUUCCAACAGUCCAUGAAUGUAGGGAUUUAUACAUUAACUAGGGACCCUCAAUAGUCUGAUUUGCAACUAAAGCAGCACCAACAUGAGAAAUUGCUGGUUCCCAUAUUCCAGUGAAUGUGCAUACAGAAGGAGAAGAAAGUUAUGAUCCACAAGUUCAAUUUCCCAGGGAAAAAGAGGAAAACUGUCUUUUAUUGGUUGCAUCCCAUCCCUGCACAAAGUGCAAACAAAAGCACAAUGUUGUCUCUUUUGAACAAAGUUGUACCAAAAAUUAAGAUUUGAACCAUUUUCAUUCUCUGCUUCAGUUUGAAUUCUAUAGUAUCAAAAUUUGAACCAAACGUCACCAAUGCGCCCACUAUUGAUUUUGGCAAGGUUCUUAUCCAAGAAAUCAGAACAGCUUGUCGUCAAUUGAGAUUCUUUCAAGCAGGCUUAAUCAACAUAGGUCUCUAUAAUUUUCUUUUCUUUUGUUUAGAUAGUAGUAAUUAUGCAAAAAGUAUAAUUAUAUAUAAGCUGAUGCUCUUCAUGAUCCACUCAUAGCACAACCAUGCAUAUAACUUGCAAUGCCACCGUCUUUUCACGAGGAAGAUGCAUCUUUUCACCAUAAUCGGCGAAUAUAUGACAUUAAUGCUUUGUUACGACGGGUUUUGAUCUUUUGCUAGUACUUUUAGUAACGAGUUUAGUGUCUUUAGCAGCGAAACAAACCGUCGCUCGCUGUGUGGUGAAACAACUAUUUGCGACGUCGAAGAAAACCACCGCUAAAUGUCCGAAGAAAAUUGUAAUGUUAGCUCUCCCAUGAUACUCGGGGAUAUUGCCAGCUGAAUAGUAGAAAAGCAACAUAAAAACCGUCUUUUCAAUAUCUUUAUAUGCAUGUACACAUAUUACAUGAAAACAAUUCACAAAUUCUUGUCCAAAAUAUAUUACUUUGAUGCAUGGAAAUGCCCAAUCAAUUCAACAAACUAGAUGGGAUAAGAAAAAAAUUUCAGUGCAAUUUUAUCACUCCAACCAUUCCGAAGGCGAUCCUUUUUCACUACUAACUUGCUAGCAACUUCCUGCUUGUUCUCAGUCCCUUGAAAUGGUCUCUCACAUAUACCGCAACCAUGAAAGUAGGAGCUGAAGCUGUGGAUUAUAAAGUGUAAUCCAGAAGAUUGCUAUCUUUGAACAUCCCCUGUGCAUCAUCCUCCAUCCAUAUGCUACGAAUUGCAUCCAGGCAUUAAUUGACCUAAAGUUCACAACAAACAUUAUACAUUGAAAUUAGGAAAUCCUUUUGCUAUCACAUUUAACUGUGAGCCAAUGAGUAAUACAACCAUAUACAAAGUUUACACAUGAAUGCGAGGCCCAUAUCAAAUAUACGAGAUUGAAAGGCAAAUUGCUAUAUAGAAUUUACUUGCCCAUCUUAGCGAAGAUGUUGAAAGGCCAGGUUGAAAUAACAAUCAACGGAAACUUUACUGAGUAUAUUUUCAGACAAUAGCCCUCAAUUUUGUCCCCAAGACUCUGUUAUGUGACAACAUUGAACCAAAAUGCUAGUCAAAGGGUCAUUGAUAAAACAGCAAUAGGAUUGUAAAAACCCCUAAACGAUACGAAAGAUAAAUGAUGUUUGUGCCUGUGCACAACUGCUCGCUCGUAGAGCCUUGUUCAGGUAACAGUAAGUACACUAGCAGCACAUUAUACAGCAAAAGCUUUUUGUCCCACACUGACAACUGAAAGUUACUUGAAACUAAUGAUAAUAAAAUUAACCACAAAACAGAACUGAUACCUCAAGGUUGAUCAGGGGACCUGACAUCUUGUUUUGAUCCCAUUGAGGGGAGUGGGGAGAUAUGCACUAAAUGAUACUUGAAGUUGCAUAAGAAUUUUUUCUUCCCCUACUCAGUCAAAUAUUCAAGCCCUCAUCAUAACCUGCAUAGUGAUCAUAAUUUUGAAGAAAUAAGAACCAUAGAUUAUUAAGGAAAGAGCAACAGAGUAAUGACAACUAAAUCAUUUAGAGGCCAAAAUCCUAACUGCCUAUGAUUCAUCAAUGAUCAAAAGACGGUAUGUCUGAAGUUUCCUUGUUGGGACAAAAUAAAACAAUAAGCUAGUGUGGUGAAUGCAUGUUAAGAGUCGCAAUCCUAUUUGAAUCAAGUUUAGUUAUUUGGAGCUGCAAUCCUAUUUUCCCAGUGGUACAAAGCAAAUGAUGUAAAAGAGUGAGACAUACAAACUAUCACUAUUCUAUAUACCAUUAGACCAGCAAAAGCUACAUCCAUUGCAGUGAUGACCACUAUCUGCCUAAUGAAUGAGAAAGAAAUCCACAAUUAUGCAAUAAUAUGAUCAUAAGUCAUAUGAGUGCAUAUGCCUGCCUUUCGGUCAGGGUUGAGUAGUACUAGUAACCUCAAAGUAAGCCCUUUUUUCCUUUGUUUUUUUUGGGUAACAAAUAUGGAUUUUAUUUAUGACAAAAGAGUUAGAAAGGGGAUGAACGAGAUGUCCUCUAAAAUCCUGUGAACAUCCUCAACCCCAAACACUAAGUACAAUAAAAUCCAACUAGGGAUUGGAACAAUAAAAAAUCAAGCUAACUAUGUGGAAGGCACAUCAUUGACCCAAAGAGGUCAACGGUCUUCAUGACUCUUAAUUACCUGAUCCCAAUCAUAAUGUAAAAUAGAGAGAAGAGGGAAGCAGGAGGAGGGAAUACCGUAUAUUUGAUACCAGGCUUCAAAACUAAGCUAUGGAAAGACUUUACCAAGAAAAUAAAAUGCCAUAUCCAAUGCUUGAAAACUUACUUUCCUACAUUGAAUUUCUAUGAAGUUAAAUGACAUCCACAUGAUUACAUACCAAAAAAGUGAGCUUUAACCAUUAGCCAUGGAUGUUACUUAGUGUUUGGGGUUGAGGAAAAGAUUGGCCCCAGUAUUUCGGUUUCAACCCGAUACACCCCAUCCCUGCCACAAAUGGCCCAGCAAAAGCUCCCCAGAGCAACUCCCUCCAAACUACAUUGACAGAUUAAAAAAUCAAUUACUGAAUUCCUACAAGUCCUUAAAUUUACAAUUCUACCACGAGACACUAAAAACGCAUAACCAGACAAAAUUUUAUACACAUUGGCAUACUCCUUAAACUUACUUUCCUACAUAGAAUUAUGAUUACAUACCAAAAAAGUGAGCUUUAACCAUUAGCCAUGGAGCUUUACUCUAUUAUCAUACCUGACUUGCACAAAGAAAAGAUUGGCCCCGGUAUUUCGGUUUCAACCGGAUACACCCCAUUCCUGCCACAAAAUUUUAUACACAUUGGCAUAUAUAAUUAUACAUUCAAUACACAAAAAAAAACCUUUCUUUUCUCUCCCAACAAUGUUUAUUUAUAAAGAAACAGAAUGUUCUUCUCUGAUUUCUAUCAUUGUGAGAAUCGGUUUUUCCGGCUGCUUCAAAUUCCAAACAUGUGUAAUCAAUGGUUGGGUUAUAUUUUGCUAGAAGAUUAAAGUUUUUUUCUUUCAAAUCUACUGAUUGAUGCCUUCCGAGUUCCAACUAUCCCAAUAUGUCAGAAUCAAAAUUUUCUUUUUGGUUUAUGAAAUUCUCGCUAUUUAUAUGCCGUCUAAAUCCAAAGAAAUGAAAUGGGAAAAUAGAGAAUUGAAAGGCUUACCAGACAAAAAAAAGGCAAGGAAUUGGUGGGGUUGUGGUAAAAUGGGAUCAGAGUUGAAAGCGUGUGAGCUUCCAUCACUCCCAAACUCCCUUGCUUGUUGCCAUUUGAGAGGAGCGAGCGAGGACUGAGAAACCCUAGCUUUUUCUCCUGCCGUCGAUCUCAUCUCUUUCUUCUCUCUCGUUCGAUCACAUCGAACCGUCGAACGGGCGUACGACUCUGUUUUGUUUUUUCGUAAAUAGUCUAGCCGUCCGGCUAUACUCGAUUUUUUAAUUUUUUUAAAAAAUCGUACAGCCGUUCGGCUACACUUGUUUUAACACUCGGGCACUUAAUCGCUAGGCGACCCCUUUUUUUUCCCAAAAAUAGUAUAGCCGCGCGGCUAUACCCGGUUUUUUUUACUAACAGUAUAGCCGUGCGGCCAUACUCUUUUGACACGUGGGCAACUAAGUCGCUUUGUGGGUUUUUAUUUUUUAAAUAAACGUAUAGCCACUCGGCUGUACACGAUGGUAACUAGGCACCAUGCUGCUUCUCUCUUUUGUUUUUUCAUUAAUCGGCUAUACGUGAAUUUUUUUCCCUUUUUUUAGAAAAUUAGUAUAGCCGCACGGCUUUACAGGGUUUUUGGUUUAAUUUUUAUAAUAAGUAUAGCCGAGCGGCUAUACUCUCUCUCUAUGUAUAUAUGUAGAUAUACUGGUAUCCUUUUUUUCUUUUAAAUUUUCCCCAAUUUUUUUUUAUUGAUAAGAGUAGGUUAUAGCAUUACCCAUUACUAUUAGGCCAUUAUCCGAAUCUCUAUUGUCCCUUUUUAAUUUUUUAUUUUCCCAAAGUUAUUAAUUGUAUAAAGAAUUUAGCACUUACACGGUUAAUAUUUAUUAUACACGUAUGUAUGUAUUUUCCAAUUGUACAUCUAUGUUUUGUACACGUUUAAAAUGCUCUUAAAAAUUCACGUAUUUUCCAAUUAUACAUCCGUGUUCUGUACAUAUUUUCCAAUUAAGGAUUGCAUUCAAUGAUGAACUGCUGUUGUGCAGGAUUUCUUUAGAAGCGAGAAGAAAUCUAGCUAGCUCAGGUGUGAAGCCAAGCUAUUGCUAGCAGCAAGGAAUAAAACACAUAUAAGGUUAAGACAGGAAUCUAUUACAUAUAUUCCAUUAGUACAAUCCUAUACUUCCUUUUUUCUCAAAAUUAAGGUUAAGACAGAUCAUUACAUAGUACUAUAAGGAGACCUUGAGAAAGAUCAUGUUAUGGGGAAUGUGGUUGUAUAUGUUCUCCUUUUCUGUUCUUAUCCAGUCAAGUCUAGCAGAAUUUAAUGGGGGAAAAGGCCAGUGGCAUUGAAAUCUUGGUAUUACAUUACAGUUGUACAAGCAAAAACAGCCGCACCAAAACCUGAAAUUGAGGGACAGUGGAUGGAGCUCGCCCACCUGCAUGGCCAAAUACAAGGAGGAUUUGACCUGAUUCAUUUUCCACUAUCUGCCAAAUUCAUACUUUAACUAGUUUCCCCAGCAGUUUCCAAUUUCCCCAACAUUUAUUCUUCACAUAUAUCAAAUGUCUAGUUUAUUUCCUUUGUUUUGUAGCCCCAUGGAACUCUCUAGAUUUACAUGAAAAAGCAAUUAAUUAAACAUUAAGAAAGUGCUUUUGGACCUGCUUUUGAUUUGAUAGUUUUGUGCACAAAGAUUUCAGCUAGCUAGAUUUAUGACAAAUCAAAAGGCCCAUAUACAAAGUGCAGCUAGUAUAAAAACUCUACUAUAUAAACCCCUCCCUCCUUUCAUAUUUUUUUUUGCAUCAAACCAUUAUCUUGUUCCCUUUGUGUGUUACAAGAUAUGAACCUUUUCAUUCUCUGCUUCUGUUUGAAUUCUAUAGUUUGCUAGCUAGCUGAGGCAACUUUAAGGAUGAUGAUAAAAGUUGUUCAAGCUCAUUUUCAAUCGGGAAGAGUGCACAAGAGAGGGGCUUGUCAUAUGUACCCGAGUGCUAUGUAAUUCCAACUUCACAUCGUCCAAGUUUGACUCCAGACGUCGCCAAUGUCCCCAUUAUUGAUUUUGGCAAAUUGAAACAAGGUUCUCAUGAACGAGCAAUAGUUAUCCAAGAAAUCAGAACAGCUUGUCGUCAACUAGGAUUCUUUCAAGGUAGCUUAAUCUCUAUAAUUUUCUUUUGGUUAGAUGAUAUUCAUGUUCCGUUCAUAACCUAACCAUGCAUAUAUAUAUAACAUGCAAACAGAUUGUCAACCAUGGAAUCUGUCAAUCGGUGUUAGAUGAGGCUCUUGCUUCGGCCUCGGAAAUUUUCAAGUUGCCAGGUUCUGAGAAGGCCAAGUUCAUGUCUGAUGAUGUUCACAAGCCAGUGAGGUAUGGGACAAGCUUCAAGGAUGGAACUGAUAAGAUUCAAUUUUGGGGGGUGUUUCUCAAGCAUUAUGCUCACCCCUUGGCAGAUUGGAUCAAUACCUGGCCUGACAAUCCAUCUAACUAUAGGUAUAUACCCUUAUAUUUUAAUCUCUUAUAUUUUCUUUGUAUUUCCAAAAGAAACAAAACAAAAAAAAAAAAACCCAAAAAGAAGAGAGAAUUAAAAUAAACAUAAGUACGUAGCCAACUAUAUAACUAGCAAUGCAUCUGAUUUAAGAGCAUGGUCUUUAGCUAAAUUGUUGUCUUGUCUUAUUUUUGUCAGACUUUUUGGUAAAUCCUUGGGCAGUUGCCGCUCUUGAUUUUUGGCAAUCUGGAGGCCUCACAUUAAAAUAUUUCAAUAAAACAUGGUCACUCACCAGCUAGUAUACAUAUAUAUCCAAUGAUCCUCAUAAAUAUCAACCGUCAUGGAGCAUAGUCUAGCGCUGACAAGCAUGGCAAACAAGAACAGAUAAUCGUUUCCAAUGUAGCUUUCAUCUUUGUACUCGAUUUGUUCUUUUACCGAUGCGUCAUCAAUUGACUUUCAAUCUUUGAAUGCUUUAUUCAUAUGAAUCUAGGAUCAUCUAAAGAAAUUUUUGGGAGGAUGUGUAACAGUACGAGAAAGACAAUUAUAAAGAAUGGGACUAGGUCUUGAGCAACUUUUUAGAUUACAUCUAGAUGUUGAUGGCUUUUCUUGGGUAUAACUCUUGCUAGAUCCCGCAUCCAUCAAAAGGACUCGGGGGGUGGGGAACUGGAGGGUAAGAAGCAGCUGACUAGAGCCAUUAGGCAUCAUCUCAAUCUCCGGAUCCAAAACAAAGGUUGCUUGCAUAUUCCACCUCCUUCUCAAUCUUUUGAUUCUUGCUAUUGCCGAUAUGAUCUUUUCUCUUGUUUCAGAAGUGGAGUUUGCUGCUAUCGUAGAUAAGAGUGACGGAAUUGAAAAAGUGAAAUCCACCCGGAAAGAAGAACUGCAGCUCGAUUUGAGAUGAAAUCUGGUAAUAGCUCUUGGGCUGGUUCUGCUGCUUGACUUGAAUUGAGGUUGUGCCUCUUCCAAUCGCCAUAGUUAAACUUCUGAUUAGCCCUACUAUACUAGAUGAGAUUCCAUUUCUACAGAACAGAGAAAGGGGAGAGCGGGGAAGUUGUUGUAAGUUCUCACAGUCACUUUAUCACGUGAUCAGUUAUUGUAAAAGAGUUGGCAUAUACUCGACCACCUCAGUUAUUAACAUUGUUGCACAAGUUUAUUUUUUAUUAAUGUGUAAUUUGUUCUCAUCACAAAUCUUUAUUGAUUAGUACAUGAAUAUCUCUAGGGAAACCAUGGGAAAGUAUUGCAAAGAAGUGAAGAAACUAAGCUUUGAGAUAACGGAAGCCAUCACUGAGAGCUUGGGGAUAGGCCCAACCUACAUGAGCAACAAACUGGAAGAUGGGUUGCAAGUCAUUACAGUCAACUGUUACCCACCAUGCCCAAAUCCUGAAAUUGCACUAGGGUUGCCUCCUCAUUCAGAAUAUAGCUGCUUAACCAUUGUCCUUCAGAGCUGUCCGGGGCUCGAAAUCAUGCACGCUGAGGAAGGAGCCUGGAAACAAGUCCCCCAACUUCAUGGUGCCCUACAAGUCCAUGGGGGUGACCAUUUUGAGGUGCUAAGCAAUGGGUUGUACAAGAGCGUUGUGCAAAGGACCACAUUGAUCCGUGAGAGGACAAGAAUCUCCAUUGCAAGUCUGCAUAGUUUGGGAUUGGAUGAGAAGAUGGGAGCUGCCAAAGAGCUUGUGGAUGAGGAGCAUCCUGGGAGGUACAAAGAGAGCAGCUUCAAAGAUUUUCUGAAUUUUCCCUCCACCAAUGAUCUAAAAGAGGGGAAGAGCUUCAUUAACACACUCAAAAUAUAGAAAAAUAACAAUUUCAAGCCUUAAUCUAGCUCUAUAGUGAGUGCUCUUUUUUGUCUGUUGAUUUUAGUUAUUUUCUCAGUUUUUGGAAAAGACUACUUCGUAGUUUUUUUUUUUUUUGGACCAAAUUAAGAGUCUCUAAUUAUCUCGGAGAAGGGUAAGCAGACUGAAGGGCAAAGUUAGCAGCUUAGAUUAAGAUUAGUGAUAUAAGGUAUAUAACAUAAUCGGUAAUUACGAUGCAAAAUUUGACGUACUUAACUGAUCCUACAUCUAAAUUGGGUAUAAAGAGGUGCUGAAAUUGAGGGAGCAUAUAUCCAAAUAAAGUGCAUUUUAGUUUUUAAUUACAUUGGUUACUGCUACAAGGUCCACCAUAUCUAUGUGGAAUGGAUGUGCAUGUGGAAUUAAUAGAAAGGACAUGAGAAUAUUUAUUGCAGAGUCAAAAUAAUGAUCCAAAAAACUAGUUCUGAUCCAAAAUCUUAGCCGUUUUCCUUGACCUCGGUAUUUCUUUUGCUCUCUCUCUCUCUCUCUCUCUCUCUCUCUCUCUCUCUCACUUCACACUUUAUACUCCAAUCAACAUCCAACAAACACAUACACAACCUUUCAAACCCCCUUGCUCAAUAUUAUAUGCUUCCUUCACUCAGUUCUGAUCAUCAUUCUCAUUACCGAUAUACAUCAAUUCAAGUGUCUUAAUUGUCACGUACUAGCUAUAAAUCAUAAAAUAAUUUAAUUUAAUACACACUAAUAUUCCAAGAAAAUUAGAAGAUGCACAGAUCGGCAAGCUGGAGCCGGGCGGAUGAGUACUUCAUGCACCCAAACUCCUCCCCGUCAGCUGGGAAGGGGCCGUCGGGGCUACGGGUGUCAGUGUCGUUUGAUCAAGGCGGUGAUCAGCUGCCGGUGUACGAUCCCAUAGCAGAGCUGGCCAAGAAGGAAAGGUCUCGUGUUAAGUUCGCUGAGAAUGCCGUGCAUGUCAUCCCCAUUGUGCUUCUUCUAUGCGCCUUUGUUCUUUGGUUCUUCUCAAAUCCAGGUAAUUAAUCAUAAAAAAUAAAACCAUUUGUACUAUUUUAGACCACGAUGUAGUAUAAGAUGAUACAGAUUGUUUAUAAAUUUGCAUUAAUAUAUUUUAUUUUUCUUACAAAUGUAUAUAUUUUGUUGGUGUAUAUGUAAUGCGCAGAGAUAGACGUGCGGAUUAAAACGGAUCCAAUAGCAGCAAGAAUUGAAGGACUGACGUUAGAGGGGGAGAUUGAGAAUGAUAGUGACGGGACUCAAACAGGCGGUCUGCCCAUGAUGGACUUGGGACUGGACUUGGAUCAAACAACAACGACAAUAUCAACAACAACAAAGCAAAUCAAACAUAAAUUAAAGUGAAUUAGAUUUAGAUGAUCAUCGAUGCAUGUGUGAUGGCUUAAAUUUCUGUGGACGUUGGGAGAAUUAAAAUUAAUAAAUAAGAAAAGAAAAAAAAACUUGUGGUUUAUAUAUUUUCCUCCUGUACGUAUUGUUCAGUCCUGAUCUCUUGGACCACAGGAGUCUAAGAGAUUUGUGGUCAUUUACCGUUGGAUGUAAAUUCAACGGUUCACUCAAUCUUGCACUCCUUUUAAGAAACUUUUUUGAACCAUUAGAUUAAUAUCUAAUGGUGGGUGACCACAAUCUCUUGGACUCCUGUGGUCCAAGAGAUCAGGACUGAUGUAUUGUUCUCCUCAAAUGCUAAUACUGCUCUCAUUGUACUGGUGUUUUGGUAUAAUGUACAUGAUUUGGAAGUAUAUUGGAGCAUUUUUUGGUUCACUCUCUUACAUUAACCUGCCAUUUGCUAUUUUUUUAAAUACAAGUAAUAGUCUAAAUUGAUCUAAUCUACGAAAAAAGAGGAAUUCGAAAUUAUAUACAAGGGGAUGAGUUCACUGCCUUAACCAUUGUGUAUAAAAGGUGAUCCUCGCCAUGUUAGCAAUUCCUUAAACCAACACCUCCUGGUCUAGAAGAAUAUUGUUUGUAUAAUUUUGGAUUGGAUUAUAAGAACUCCUUUCUCCUUUUUUUUUGUUCAAAAUUAGGAAAUGAGAGGGAGGAAACUCACACACGCGCUUGGAAGCACACUAAAUACCUGAGCCAAUCCAACUAACACCCCAAAUAAACCAAGCAAUAGGUUUGUGCAAUGAAAAAUAAUUAACCAUAUCCCGCAUGCUACAUAAUAUAGUAAUAAUAUAUAGACAUCUUUACAAAUAAGAAGAGUAAACAUUCAGAGAAGUAUGGUAAGCUGGAAAGUAUAGAGGAAAAAUUGUUCACAAUCUCAAGAUUAUGAAAGUACUCCACUCAUUUUAUUCACCAACAACAUAACACAUUAAUUUAAUUUAGAUAGUAAAAUUGUUCCUAUUUUCGGUUCAGCAAAUCUUUCUAGCCUAAACUUUGGCAGUCAUUUCUUAUGUUCUUCUUGUAGUUUUUUUUCUAUAAUUUUUUUUAAUCCCAACAUCAUUAAUUACUUUUAAAGGUAUGGUCGCUAUUUUAAAACUUAAGAUUUAAGACUUAGCUCUUAGUUUUUUUUGUUUUCAUCACACAAAAUAAUAUGCCUUAUCAGUGAUUGUAAAUAAUCGCGUGAUUUAGAAGCAUCUGCUCCAACAACAAAAAAUUUUGCGUCAUAAACUCAGUAGGGUUCGUAUUCAUAUCUAUACAACCGAUUACAUUUAAAGUUUUUUUUUGGUCAGAUCGCGAAUACAUGUGGGCCUCCUGCUGAUUGACAAUAUUACACUUAACGGGCCGACGAGAGGAUCCUGGCCCAUGCCCGGCCGCAGGCCCAAAUGUAAAACGGUAAAAGCGUUAUUUGGCUCCAAAUUUUUUCGUGUUUUUCAUUAGAAACGUUUUACCUUUAUAUAAUCCGAACUUUUCAGUUUCAUCAUCGCUUCGUCAUACCUGUUUUUCCAGUUCUCCUUUUUGUUCUCUCUCUCUCUCUCUCUCCUCUUCUUCUCUUCCACUUGCCUUCUCCAAAGCUUUCCCUCCAGAGAAUCAAAGCUGGUCUAGAUUGUGUUCUGGCUGGACCGGUCCAAUCCCGGUCGAGUUCUUCGUAGAUCAACCACUCGCAGUCACAGUCAUGAAUCCUGAAUAGUAAGCCUCCGAUCUCUUUUCCCUUUUCCCUUUGUUUCCAAUAACUUUUGCCCCUCUUUGCAUCUGAAUAUAUUUAUGCCAUAAAUAAAAAAUCAAAAAUAAAAGUGGUUAUUUUUCCUGCUGUUUUCCUUUGGAUUCUCCUAAAGCAUUUGUUUUUUUUCGUCCUUACAACAAUUAUUCUUUAGAUCCGUGAUGAUUUAGGGCUAAAUUGUAAUGGGUGUGUGGUCAAUUUGUGUUUCCUUUUUUAAAAAAAAUUAUCGAUUUUGUUGAAAUUCUGUUUGUUGACAUAAGAAACUGAAGAAAUUGAAACCCAAUAGGAUAGAUUUCCAGUUACUUUCAUUUCCUUGUGCCUUAUACUUCAAUUGUGAUCACUGAAACCGAAAGCAGCGUAAUUGAUUUAUUUUGAUAUCUUAAAUUUUAGCUUGGAUCGUGUUCUUGAGGUUAAUGGGUCAACUAAACUUUGGUUUGAGAUCUUGAUGUUCAGUUAGUUCAUGGGCUUAGUCAAUGCAAUUUGCUAAAUGUAAUGUAAUUUUUGGCUCAACCAAAUAACUUAAGUUUUGGUUUGCUACUAAACCUGUUGAAUUCAGAUUUAAAGUAUUGCAAAUGAAUGAUUAUGUUCAAAUGUUCUCUUCUGCAGUGAUUACUUGUUUAAACUUUUACUGAUUGGAGACUCUGGGGUCGGCAAAUCAUGUCUCCUUCUGAGGUUUGCUGUAAGUUGAUGAUACUUUGACCACUUAGACCUUUAUUCGUAUAUGGAAAUUGUAGUGCGUGUUAAAGUUUGUUUUGGAUUUUUUUGUCCGAUUCAUUGUGUCCAUUACUUGCCUCUCCCAUUAUAGUUAACUGAUUAGUGAUAAUUCCUUACUGUGCUCAUGCGUUUGUUUCUUGCCGAAAAGGAAAUACAAUGUUUUGCUUUAUACUAAAGUUAGAUAUUUGGGGAAUCUAGCAGUUAUUUUGCUCUUCGAUGUUUAUGGGUAAUUCAAAAUUGGGAAAUUCAUUGAUGUAAAUGAUAAGAAAGGCUUCAAGGAACCAAAUGAAAAUAAACAGAAGUUUUUAGAAGAGAAACUUGUAAUUUCUAUCCAUUAUUGUCAAAAAUGCUGAUUCCUUAUCUAAAAAAUUAAAAAAAUCGAGUAUUGAUUUACUUCAAAUCGACGAAUGCAAUUAAAUAACAUAUGCAUGAUUCGUUUUUGUCGUGUAAUACCUAUUAUCUGAUGUUUCAUCUUAGGCAGGUGUUUAUGUUGUCUCCCAUGGAAAUAUUAUUUAUAUUGAUUACUUGUACAAUUCCUCAGGGCUGACUAUUUUAUCUGUGUAUGAUACAGGAUGAUUCAUAUCUGGACAGCUAUAUUAGCACAAUCGGAGUUGAUUUUGUAAGCUCUAUUUUCUGGGUCAAAGUGGUGUUAUAGAAAGGACGACUCCUAAUUACUUUUCUUGUUCUUUACCUGUAGAAAAUUCGCACAGUUGAGCAGGAUGGGAAGACCAUUAAACUUCAAAUUGUGAGUCUCUCUCUCUUUCUCUCUCUCUCAAACAUGGUAGUGCGUGGGCAUUAAAGCCAUUCAGUAGUUGAGGAAUACCUAUUGCUUACGUAUCUGAACUGUUGAUGCCAAAGUGUUGUUGGUUCAUUUUUUCUUUUCCCUUUUUCUUUCUUCACGUGCUUAUUUUGCAACUGUCUGAUGUAACACAUUCAACUACUUUAGUAGAAUUUCUUAUUUCGUGAGGUUUUUUGCGGUGUGUUUGCAUUUGGUUGGUUGACCUUGGUUAUGAAGCUGUACUGUGUCAAUGGAACACAUAGGGUCUCAUCAUUAGGCUUAAAUUUAGUUCUAGUGCAUGUUCACAAUAUUCUUGUAGCACAUAUGAAAUGUUAUUUAGUCAAUGAGCUAUAAAGACUUAUUUGUCAUAUUUUCCUUUUUCCUUUUUCCUCCUGGAAAUGUAGUGGGACACUGCUGGACAAGAACGUUUUAGGACAAUUACUAGUAGCUACUACCGUGGGGCACAUGGAAUUAUAGUAAGUUUUUCCUUUUUGUUUCAUUAUUGUGGUCAUGGUUUUUCCUUGAAGUCUUGUAAUGUGGAUUCUAUUUAUUAAUGUUGGUGCAUGUGGCAGAUAGUUUAUGAUGUGACAGACCAAGAGAGCUUCAACAAUGUUAAGCAGUGGUUAAAUGAAAUUGAUCGUUAUGCUAGUGAGAAUGUAAACAAGCUUCUUGUUGGCAACAAGGCUGACCUCACUGCUAACAAAGUUGUGUCUUAUGAAACAGCUAAGGUGAAAAAAACCUUCCCUUAGUUCAUGCUACCAUAUUUUUUGUCUGUUGAAGUAUUCAAUAUUUAUAUAAUGACUCUUCCCUAUCGUCAUUGGUUUGUUAAAAGGCAUUUGCGGAUGAGAUUGGGAUCCCUUUCAUGGAGACUAGUGCAAAAAAUGCUACUAAUGUGGAGCAAGCCUUCAUGGCAAUGGCUGCUGAAAUCAAGAAUAGGUACUUUUGUAUAUGUUGUGUGUUUUCUUUACCCUAGUAAUGUAAUAAGAGAAAAGGUUGAACGAGGGACAGGAUUCUUUUGAAAAAUAGCCAUGCUUAGGUUUUCUGCAUCUUUGAGUUGAAGUAAAUUCUGAUACUAUUCUUCUAAAAAAGAAAGGGUGCAUUUUUGUUCUAAAGCUCUCCAGCUUUGCAAGUUUAUAAUUUGGCCUCUUCAGUAGUUCACUCAUUUCUUUCAUGACCGAAUGCAGGAUGGCAAGUCAACCAAUGAACAAUGCAAGGCCACCGACAGUGCAGAUCCGAGGACAACCUGUCAACCAGAAAUCUGGCUGCUGCUCCUCUUAGUCGAUUCUAUUACUCGUCUUCUGUGGCAUGAGUGCAUGCACGUAGGAGAAGGCUUCACUUCAUUCUUGUCUAAGCUGUAGGGGACCAUUCGUGCCUUGUGAAACCAUAUAUAAUGACUUUGCUCGUCAGUAUGUCUUAUAAAGUGACAAACAAAACAAAUUCCAUUCUUUUUAGUCUUUUAACUGGUAUGUACAAAUGAUGUCUGCUACUCAGCUACAUUUUUUAUUUCUCUGUUUUCUUCUGUUUAAAGUGACUUGCUAAAUUGUUUCAUGUGGAUGCUUAAAGGAAAUUUGUACGUUUCAAAUGUUAUUAUAUGGCAAGUGGCCAAUUUGUUAUAGAAUCCUGAAAUAGUCGACUGCUGCAGAUGCUAUUUGUCUUCAAUGUCUCUGCAGCUAACCAAAUUAGCUCUUUAACCAUGCGUUCCUAGGAUUAAAUUACUGGAUCGGAGCAUAGACCAGUCCAUAGGACAAUUUUGUCCCAUCUAUUUCAUAAAGUCACUUCCACCCCACCUCUCUCUAUAAGCUGGCUCUUUCUUUCAAAUUAUCAAUUUAUCAUAAAUAAAUUUGUUUUCACUAACGAACUUUUAAUUUAGUGGUAUUUCUCAGUUGAAAUUCGAAUUGACACACCAUAAUUUGGUAAAGCUACUAUUCCAUCGAGUUAACCUUGGUAGAAUGAAACUCGAUUCUCCUUUUGAACAUACCAAAAAAGAAAACCUUGGUAGAAAGCGCUUUCGUAAAUGCAAGUUAAAGAAGGAAAAGUGGAGAUAAAAAAAGUCGAGAAGUUGGAAAGGAAAAAAAAGUUGAAUUGUAUGGCAUUGUCCCAAACAUUAUACAGAACAAUUCAGCAGGAUACACACAAGCCAGCCCAGCCAUGCUUGUUAUGUAAUGCAUCAAUCAAGCUAUCUAUCUCAUUUUACCAUCAGCUGUGGGACACUUGGAAAACUUCUUCCGCAUUAUACAAUUGUACACCUCUUCCAUGAAAAUGAACCGACUUAAUUGAUUAUUCUCGUGAUACUUCUACCUCUCAGCUUGAAAAAUCAAAAUUGCAAAAAGAAUCAGCUGUAACAUAUAUCAUUUUCUAUGUCACUCUGAUGGCACCAGAAGUAGGGGAAGACAAAUUGGCUCCUUGAGAAGGUUGAGGCUGCCCAAUUUUAAGCUCUAGAGCAUCUUUUUCAGCCGGUGAGCUCAUACCGAUACGGCCGGCCAUAGAUGGACUGCUUGGAAGAGACCUUGGUGAUGGAAUUCCAGAAGGGUGAGAAAUAACAGGUGCACAAGUAGCAAAGUUACCAUGUGUUUUGAUCAUAUAGUGGUAGCUUGGUCUGGCAAAGUGCAUCAUUGGGGUGUAUGGGACAUUUUCAGGAAUUCCCAUCUGUCCAAACAUUAGCAAAAUCAUCAUCAUAAAUGAUUCUGGUACUAAAACUUCAAAUGGAAGCAAACAACACAUAGCCAUAAGAAACAGCAACUAAAAUCACAUAACUUUUCUUUACAAUUCGAAAGCUAUUAUUCAGAACAGUUCCCUUCAAAAUGGGAAAAAGAAUGUUAAUGAAUUACCAUGUAUGAGACGGCAGGGUAAUUUGGAACAUUACAAGGUGGAGACACCGGAGCAGCUGGGGGGCUAUCCAAACAUAGAUGUGGAAAUCGGUUUAGAAUCUGAGACGGAACGCUUGCCUGUAAGAUUAUCAAAAGUCAUUAAUGUAAAUCAUGUUUAUAAGUUAAUGUUUUUAAGGUUAACGAUAUAUAAGCUGGUGGAUUUACCUUAGGUGGUGAGCUAUUAGCUGUAUUAAUCUUCUGUGGCAGAACUUUAGAGCUGCUACCCUGCACCACAAGCAGCCAUUACAAUUAGGUUCUAGCCUCAUCUUGAAAUGAGCUUUGAUGACACAAUUGAUGGGCUUACCUCUGAUGAAGUUUCUGUAGCUGUUCUUGUUGGUGAAAUUGGAGAAUCUUGAUGACCCUGAUCCUGCAGGUCCAUCUAGUAUAAGUCAUUUAUAUUAACUAAUUAAGAUGUUUAGAACUUGAAACCAAAAUGAAAAUGCAUAGAGGAUUGAUCUGUGAGAAAGAGGCAGAGAGAGAGAGAGAAUUACAGAGAGUUCUUUAAAUUGCAUGUCAAAGAGGCUUGAUCUGCGUUUUCUCUUAUCAUAUGUAGCUUGCCUGAGGAAAUAUUUUUGUGCAUGACUAGCAACCUGAGUUGGGGUUCUGGUGGUGACAAAAUUUCUUGCUAUUCCUCUCCAAUCUCCUUUCCCAAGCUUCUUCAAACCAGCUAGAAACACCCGGUGCUCUUCCUCGGUCCACGGCCUCCCUGAGUACAUAUAUUUAUUCAAAUUCAGCCAAAACCAAACCUGAAGAAGAAUCUAUAUGCAAAGCUCUUAUAUAUUUUGUAGCCAUCAAUGUUAAUUAAGAAGUUCAUUAGCACCCAUUAGCAAGGCUCAUUAAUGAUUCUACUUCAUUAUGGAUUGGUUUAAAAUUUCACUUAGUUAUCAUAAGCUCUGAAAACCAAUUUGAAGAGCAUCGUUAUGUCAUCUGCUGCAGUAUUAAUUUAAUUAACAACUGCAAGAUGUUACGAAGUACUAUUAUUUUGAACAAAAGUUUAUAACAAAGCUUAUACAAAGAAACAAACAUCGAAAGAAACAUGCAUUCUCCAACACAUGACACAAUUCAUCAAACAGCAACAAGAAGAAAGCCUAGACGCAUAAAUUAAUCACUUGAAAAUUGAUAUAACAAAUUGGUUAUUAAAUAUUUAUCGUAUGCACCUUUUUUUCUCUCAUGGGCGGCUUUGUGUUUCUUGUUGUGAAUGAGGCCGUCGGAGAGAUAGCCGGCAUCGUGAUCAAUUGUAACAACGUUGUUGUUGUGGUCUGCAUUGCCUGCCGCCUGCAGAUUGCCCAUGCUGUAACUCUUCUUCAUCGAAUCAUCUUCUUUCUCCAUAAUGUUUACGCCAAAAAGCUUCAAGCAAACCCCUUUAUUUUGCCCAUGGCCAUGGCCAUUGUUGUUGCACGUCCUAGAGUUAUGCCCGUUGUGCCCGCAAUGCGAACACUUUCUCAUUGAUUCCUUCACCAUGUUUGGUAAUAUAACAACCCUUUUCGCUUUAAUCUAUGAUCAACACAAAUCUUUUAAACGAAAACUAUGAAGAUGGAAGAUGAUGGGUUUUGCUUGAUAUAUUGAUUUGUGGAUUAAUUUGUUAGGGAUAGAAGAAAGAAGAGAAGAAUUAACCUUAAUUUUUCUGUUUCGUGCAAAGGAAGGUGUUGGAGUAUUUAUGGGGCUUUUAGUUUCCUUUUCUAUAAUAAGUCUAUAACAAUCAAACACACGUACCCAAGUUUGUGUAACAUUUUCUCCUUUUUUCCCUUCACCACUAAGCUCACUAAAAAAAUAUAAAUCUUUUUACUAAUUGGAUUUAGGGAAAGUCAUUGAAAGGUUGGGAUUGGUUCAGUGGUGAGUCAACCGGAUUGUAAGCCGUUGGAUUAGAAUUGAAACAUCUUUGAUGCUUUUUUACUGCAAUGGGUGACUUCCACGUGGCAGUAGUAUGCAGUUCUGUGUGAAGCUGGUCUUACGCGAUGAUAUAAUGCGUCUCUCUGGAAAGUCGGUACGCGUCCCUGGUCCUAGCUACUAAUUUUAUCUUUUAACCCAAAAAUAAAAAAUAAAAAGUAAAAAAGAAGAGCACCUUUUUCCAGCUUUUCUGUUGAUGCUGGUCAAAAUCCAAUUUUAGCUCUCUAAUUUGGGAGAUCAAAAUAUUCAAAACUCUAAUCGGGACAGCUAAUCUGGAUUUUCAAUUCAAGUCUCCCUGUGAUUUUGAACAGCCAGGUAAAAGCUUACCUGGUUGCCUCGAGUCGUUGGGACUCAGAGAUUCAACCAAUUGGACGCCCAGGAUUUGUUUAUAGUUGAUAGACUUCCCAGUUAGGCAAAAUCAAAUUACGUGGGAAAAUUGGAAACAAGAUUUGGUGUGGUAAAUCACCAAGAAAAAAGGUGGUGUGGUGAAAUUGAAACACAAGAAUGUGCACACUCGAUUAUCUUUUUUAAGCUCGAUAAUUAUGACUGAAUUAAUAUAGAUUUGUUUAGAUAACUACUGGUGUCCAUGUAGUUAAGACAUAUUAGACUCCAGUUUGUUCUUUUCUUCUUUAAUUAGCAUCUAGCGAUAAGCUUAUUUAAGGCUGGCAAUUUAUUACUUGCAUGCCAAGAAAAUGACUCAUAGGUAACGGUGCCUUGGAACAAACAAACUAGUGUUUGCUAGAAAAUCUUCACAAGAAGAUAUCUUUCCUGUCAAGUAACUUACUUUCCACAAGAGAUGAUUUAGGUCGAUUUCUAAACUUGAUGGAAGAAAGAAAGCCAUUUACAUCACAAUUAUCCAAGCUUCACUUAAUUGCACAUUCAAUAAGUGAUUAGUUUCAGAUUUUCAGGUUUUUAAUAAGGAAUCAAGAUUAGAAUUAAGAAAAUUAGAUUUGAUAAUAAAACCAUAAUUCUUUUGUGAAAUUACAUGAAAUUAUUUUUUCUAUCUGAAAAAUAAAUAACAACUUUUUUAGGGGCCUGAAAUAGCAAAAUUACGAGUGAGGUCAAUAGGAGUUAGUUUGGUGGUUUCGACGUUUUAUCAACAAACAAUGAAAGAAACGCAUGCUUGACGUAGGCAAAGACAAAAGAGAGAGAGGUCAGCAGCAUCACAUGCAGAAGCUUAAAAACUUUGUCAUUAUAUACGUUCCUUUACUUUACUUAUCAAUUCACCACGUGUUAAUAUGCAUGCGCUUCAGUUUUUACUCCGCUGGCUCUUCCGCUUGAUCACUCUAUGCUCUUGGACGCUGAGAAAAACAGUGUCGUUUUCUUCUCUAUGAACGUGGUUCUUGAGGUAUAAAAGGGUCCCACUCAUCUUCUUGACGUGUACAGGGUCCCACUCAUUAUCUUGACGAAUACAGGGUCCCACUCCAGCCCCAAAAAUAAGUGGUAGGCUCCACCUCUCAGCUUCUAGAUGUAAUCAGAAGCCAUAUAUAUUGCUCGAGAGGAUGCAACGUAUCAGUGAAGACAGCAGGAAGUGUCAUCUUUUGACAUCUCAGCAAAUGAGCUACUAGGACUUGUUUCUUGCUCUCAAAUUGUAUGUGGUUUCUCCGCAUAACCAAACCGUCUAAAAUUGUAAUAAAUUUCCAUGCACUAAUACGCCAACUUAUGAUUAACUAUACCUCUUAUAGCUGGAUGGGAACGGGGAUUGGAUUGUUUGAAUCUAAUUCCAUAUUGGUUGAAUUAAAUUGAGAGCCGGCAUGUAGUGAUUAAAAGUAAUUUAAUUAACCUCUUCUAUUUUAUGUGGGAUAGUUCGGAUAAUUUAUUCGAAGACAAAGUUAUAGAAAGUUACCAAAAUGCCCAAGCUCUCGGUUACGAGAUUAGGGUUGGGAUCGGGUAAAAAGGAUGUAUCGUCAUUAUUACAUAUUAUACUAUUUAAGCUUGUCCAAGUUUGAAUUUUCCAUCUAUUUAAACUCUCGCAAGAUAAUGAGUCAUUUUAUUACAAUUUCGAAAAAUAGCCUCUUGACCUCCUCAAGCAAGUUCCAUUUCGUCCAACAGUCUUUCAUCUCCUCUCCAUGCGUUGAGAACAAUGCUCGGUGCAUCACCUUCUGCCCUAAUCCACAAUAAUGCUCGGUGCAUCACUCUUGGCCUUGAUCCACUUCCGCGAAAUCGCAAUCCGAAGCAAACUACACUACUACAAAAAGUGAAAAAGACGACCAGAAAACAACGACGGUCUAAGUGAACACCGUCGUGGUUUAUAAAAAGACGACGGUUCUAAAAACACCGUCGUGUAAUACAACCUUAGACAACUAAAAAAUGGAGUUUCAAAUGGCUGUUCAAAAACAACGACGUACAUAAUUAAACAACCGACGUCUAUUUGAAACAGAUUUCCGCAGUGUAAAAUCAAUGCCAACAAAGAACGGCAGAAGUUAUGAAUCGACCGACGUAGAAAGUAAAGACGACGAUUUCAAUAAAAACUGCCGUUUUUACUCAUAAAAUAACACGACGAGGUUUUCGUAUAAGACGCCGUAUAAUUACAAACAAAUCCACGGCUUUAAAAUACAAAAUAUUGCCGUAUUAAAUUAAUUUACAACGACGGAAAAUAUAAAUAUAUCGACGUCAUUCUCGUAUAGUUCUACGACGGUAUCUUUAAAUCGUACAAUAAAAUUUAUCGUCGUAUUUAUUCAUUUUAUACGUCGUACCUUUAAUUUUAACGGUCGUCUUAAUAAGAAUUUUUGUUAACAAUUUUUUUCUUUGAUUUUCUUAUCCUACGUCGGUAGAUCUACUUAAUGACAAGAAUUGAAAUAACCACGACGGUUUAAAUAGAACACCGCCGACAUAAUCAGUUUUGUCUGAGAUCCCAAGGGUUACGAAAUCUUACUAGAUGGAACUCUGUUCCACAUCAUAAUCUUAACAGAUGACACAGAUUUGCAAAUAUUGCGUCGUGUUAGUUUACAAAUUCUAGAACAUUAAUUUCCCUCAUUUUAAAUUUCCUCGGGAAAGAAAAAUCUAUUUAUCACGCUUUGGAAUUGAAAACUAAAACUGAAAGAAUACGGGAAAAAAAACUCUAUUUAUAAUUUAAAAUUAAAAUCCACGUCGGUUGUAGUACACUUAACGACGUUUAACAAAAUAAUCUACGUCGGUAAUUAUAAAUCUACCGCCAUCGUAACUUAAUAUAGACGACGAGAAAAGACGACGGUAGAACAGAAAACCGCCGUUGUUUCAGUUUCUUUAACAUAUCUUUCUGCAGGACUUGUGUAGUUCAAAGCAUUGACAAUGUCUUCAUCAUAUCUCCCAGAAACUACUGAUUCAAUUACUCAUGCUUUAGAGGCCAUCUGAAGCCAUUUCUAUUCUUUAUCGCAUUCUUGAAACCCAUCUUCUUCUUCUGAAGCUCUACGGAUAAAGGAAGAGGCUAUCACAAUAAAUCCGACGAUCUUCUUAGGCAAGAAAAUCAAGCAGAGGAUCAGGCACAUCUGAUCUUCAGAUUUCCCUGAGAAGCGAACUUUCCUUCGACAGCGAGUGGAGGCCAGGCUUGCAUCUCUUUUGAUGGAAAGCAAGGAGUAUUCAGAAGCACUAAGUGUCCUAUCAGGCUUGAUCAAGGAAGUGAGAAGGCUAGUUGACAAGCUUCUUCUUGUGGACAUAUAUUUGAUGCGAGUAAGCUCAAUUUCUCUUUGAGAAAACAUCCAAAUUAUUGUCUUUGAGACAUGAGAGACUGAGAGAGGAAGAACUUGGAACCUUAAAUGUAAACCGAAAAUGAAUGAAAGCGACAAAUUUAUAGAAUAAAUUUUUAAAACCAACGGCGGUCCUUACAAAAAAACCGCCGUUUAAAUUGUAAAAUCAACGUCGGUAUGAUCGACGUAUAUUACAGAAAUCCACGUCGGUAAAUUAAUAAAAAUGACGUGUUAAAUAAUAUACCAUGACGCGAGUUAUUACUUAUGUACUUUAAUUUUUGAGUUUACUACGACGGUACCUACAAACUACUGUCGUAUUUAUUUACCACGUCCGAAGUUAAAUGUACCGUCGUAUUUUGUAAUUUAUACGUCGUAGUUAUAUGUAACCGCCGUAUUAUUUUUUUGAAAUGGUUUUAUAUGUAAGCAACUUUUCGUCUACUUGACUUACACAUUUGUUAUUUUUAUAUUCUUAUUUUAUUUAAAUCUGUCAUCCAAAAAAGAAACUUUACAUAUUGCAGAAUAUUAAUUUCCUUCGUUUUAAAUUUCCUCCGGAAAAAAAACUCUAUUUAUAACGCACUGUAAUUGAAAAAUAAACUGAAAGGUCACGGGAAAAAAAAUUCUAUUCAUAAUUUAAAAAUUAAAAUCCACGUCGGUUAUAUUAAACCUAGCGACGUUAAAUUAAAUGAUUCCACGUCGAAUGAAAAAUAUUGCGUCGUUUUAGUUAAAAACGACGUAGUUAAAUGUAACCGCCGUAUUAUUUUUUUGAAAUGGUUUUAUAUGUAAGCAACUUUUCGACUUACACAUGCACUGUUUCCAAACCCGAUUAAAAAUUUCAAUCUCCCAGAGAAACCUUUUAGUCUUUUUUCCUUGUCAGAGCAUUGUCAGAGUUUCUCAUCGUCUUCCUCUCGUCUUCUUCGUCGUCUCUGAACUUAAACAUCGAUCAUCUUCCUCUUGCUUUCAUUGCACGCAAAAGGUAAGCUUUCAUUUUCACUAUUUUGGUUAUUGUUUUGCAUGCUCAUACGUUUUUUGUUUGAAAAAUCUUUUUACCUUUUUUCUGGCCAAAAUCAUUUUACUUCUUUCCAAGUUUGAUAAAAUAUACAGACAAAGAGAGAAAGUUUCCAACUUUGAAGACAACUACAUCAACUAAAUAAGACGACGGUAGACCACGACGGUUCGUCAGUUGUUCUAGCGUCGUCUGAAAAUUGACAAAGUUGUUUUUAAAAUAAUAGUCUUUUUUUAUAUGCUUGUUUAAUUGCAGGUUUGAUUUCGCUGAACAAUGGUUUUUGUUUUUCCCUUAUUUGAUAAAAUAUAAAGAAAAAGAAACUAGGGUUGGUAUCUAAUAUAGACGACAAAAUAUCUUAUUGUUUUACGUCGUGUGAAUGUUAAUACCACGACGGUGUAUUACUAUUGACGUCGUAUGAACAUAAAUACCACGACGUUAUAUAAAUAAUAGUUUACCACGACGGUGUAUUACUAUUGACGUCGUGUGAACAUAUAUACCACGACGUUAUAUAAAUAAUGGUUUUAAACAUUUAUUACGUCUGAGAUUAUUUCAUUGCGUCGUCUAAAAUCAUAUCAUACGUCGUAUUUUUUUAAUACCGUCGUUUGUGUUCUUAAUGUUUUCCUGAAAUAUUUUCACUUGCAGUUUUGUCUGUUAAAAUGGUUUCUCAACAACAAACUAAGGAUUCUGGCUCCAAGAAGCUUGGAGUGGUAGCUCCCCAAGACAAGUCUUCGAAGGAGAUGAAGUCUUCGAAGAAGAUGAAGUUUGCUUCAUCAUCUGCUGAGACAGAACCAACCAGCCAGACAACAAUCUCUGAUGAUUCAAAGACUGGUCGAGGUAUGAGCACAAUGCCUCGUGUUGUGAAGAGAAAGCUUCAGAAACUGAGGCCAAUUGUUGAGUACAAUAAAAGGGGGAAAGGUGUUGGCCAAGCACAUAUUGAGAUGCAGUCGUAUAUUGGUGUCUUGGCAUGCUCCAGGAUCCCACUUGUGGACAAGAAAUGGUCCCAAAUCCCAAAGGAUAUAAAGGAGCAGAUUUGGGAAGCAGUUGACAUGGCUUUUGUCGUAGGCCAAGGGGGCAAGACCUCUGUUUUAUCUUCUGCUGCCAAAAAAUGGAAGGAUUUCAAGUCUACACUAACGAGGCAUUAUAUCCUUCCAUACACCAAUGACAGGGAGAAAUUAAGCCAACCCCCUGAAACAUAUAAAUUCAUAGAGAAAGCACAAUGGGAUGCCUUUGUAGCUUCAAGGCUAUCCAAAGAUUUUGAGUCUGUGCAUUCUCAACAUGCACAGAUUAGGGAGAAACUCGAGUACAAUCAUCGAUUGUCUCGAAAAGGAUAUGCUGGAUUGGAGGAUCAAUUGGAGGAAACCAUGCCUGGGGUAGAAAUUGAUCGAUCUACCUUAUGGAAGAGAGCUAGACAGGACAAACAUGGUAACAUCCCUGAUCCAAAGGUGGCAGAGAAGGCAAAAUUAAUUGUAAGCCUACUCACUCUGUUUUAAAUUUUUAUUAAACUGUGAAUUAUUCUUAUUACGUCGUAUGUUAUAUUUUUCGUCGUGUGAAUGAUAUUACCACGUCGAAAAGUUUUUAAAAACGUCGUUAAAGGUCUAAAUAGGAAUCACUACUAUGUUUUCUGUAAUUAUAGCAUAAGACGUCGGUGGUUCAUUUUCGCGUCGUGUGAAGGAUAUUACCACGUCGAAAAUUUUUUAAAAACGUCGUUAACGGUCUAAAUAGGAAUCACUACUCUGUUAUCUUUAAUUAUAGCAUAAGACGUCGGUUGUUUAUUCAUUUCGUCGUUUUAAAUAAAUAACCACGUCGGUAUAACUACCGUCGUGAUAAGUUAUAAUAACGUCGGUUUAUACGUUAUUGCGUCGUGUGAAAUUAUAUAAUACGUCGUUUGUACAUAAAUAACCGUCGUGUGUUUUUUUGUUUAUCUUUGUUUUAGGAUGAAUUGCAGAAACAAGUCUCGGAAGGCAAAGUCAGAGUAGAUGGCAGCAAUGAUGUGCUGACCAUGGCUUUGGGCCCCGAGCAUCCAGGCAGGGUGAGGGGAGUUGGUGCUGGUGUUUCCCCAAGGCAAUAUUUCAAUUUGCCCAAACCACAGAGGGUGAGCUUUGACGACCGUUUGAAGGAGAGUUUAAGAGUUCUCCUUCAAGAAGAGACUAAAAAGAUGGAGGCUAAGGCAAGGGAAGAGGCCUUAAGGAUGGAGGCUAGGACAAAACAAUUGGUAGAGGCUGAGAGGGAGCAUUUCCUGAGUCAGCUUUCCCAAUUAAUUCCCAAUUUUGAUCCAAGCAUGCUUAAACCAAGAAUUAGCCAAAGCCCCAAAAAUCCAAUGUCUGACAAAGCUAGCUGCUCUGGAGGUGAUGUGAGAUCCCUACAUUUGGAGGAUGAUACUGCCAAAAUGGGGAAACAUCAGCCAGAUGAAGAGAAGGAAGAAGAAAAGAGAGAUGAAGAGAAGGAAGAAGAAAAAAGAUAUGAAGAGAAGGAAGAAGAAAAAAGAGAUGAAGAGAAGGAAGAAGAAAAGGAGAAAGAAGAUGAAGAAAAGCAUGACGACAAGGUAUGUUAACAUAACUUUUUUAUUUGUUUUUCAAAAUUUCAGACGUCGAUAUUUUUAUUUAAUCCGUCGUUUGUUUACAACUUAGACGGCGGAAUUUUUUUAAGACGUAAUAAAAUAUUUAAACGACGGUUUUUUCACCGUCGUUUAAAUGGUUUCAGACGACUCUUUAUUCAUAAAACCGUCGUCUUUAUUAAAUUACCACGACAAUUUUUUCACCGUCGUUUAAAUACUUUUAAAACGACGUUUUAUUCCUUAAACCGUCGUCUUUAUUGAAUUACCACGUCAUUUUUUUUAUUUCUUUAAACAGGUUAUUGAAGUUGGUGCUUAUUCAAAAAUGGAGGCGCCAUCUUCUUUAAAAACCCUUUGUCGUUUUGUGGAAACGACACUCCUGCCUGAGGAUAAGACAGUCCAAUUUACAAUUGAUAAGGAGGUGUUUGGUGGUGAGCGCGAUACCUUCCUCCUGCCUGAAGAUAUUACACAAUUUGCAGGCAUGGAAGAAAUUGGAGCUACUGUAUUGGCUGUAUAUAUGAGGUUUGUACUUCUAAAAUAAUAACUCGUUGGUUUAUAUAUUGCGUCGUCUUAACUAACUAACCACGUCGUCUUAACUAACAACCGUCGUGAUAAAUAUAUUAUAACGUCCUCAUCUAUUUCAGUACGUCGUUUGAAAUAUUAUAAUACGUCGUUUUUUUUAUACAUAACCGUCGUGUUUUGUGUGCUGACUUGUUUAUAUUAUUUUAUUUGUUUAGGUACUUACACGAUGUUUUGAAAAAAGCCAAUAUGUGCAGUAUGGUUGGCUUUAUCGACCCUGCUACAGUUAGUGCCAACUCUGGCACAAUAACUGCAAGAUCACGACUUGUAGCAGCUCGACUUCAGAAGACAGACGGUGAACAGAUUUUCAUGAUGCCUUACAAUCCAGGGUUAGUCUCCUUAGGAUUUUGUUUUUAAGAUUUUCAAUAAAUGACAGCUUAUAAACUAACCACGUCGGUGUUUUAUUUUAUUUAGUCGUUUGAAACUACUAACCACGUCGGUAUUUAUUUAUCGUCGUGAUAAAUAUAUAAUGUCGUCGUUAGCUACUUUACUUCGUCGUGUGAAAUACUAUAAUACGUCGUUUUUGUAAAUAACCGUCGUUUUUAUAUUAAUUUUGUGCAGCCGUCAUUGGAUUUUGCUGAUUGUAAGAGCAAAGAGAGAAACCGUCUAUUUUCUGGAUCCUCUGCCAGGAAAUCGUGUGGUCGAUGAAGAGGCCAAAAACAUCGUGAACAGUGCUUUAAAAAUAUAUAAUACCCACAUAGCCCGAGCAGGACGUAAAAAUGUAAUUUGGAAAACUCUCUCAGGCACACCAAAGCAACCCAGCAAUGUCGAAUGCGGGUAUUAUGUAAUGCGCUUCAUGAGGGACAUCAUCAUGGAUCCUUCCUUGGGGUUUGAGAAUAAGGUAAGAAGAAAUUACCUUCAUACAUUUCACGUCGUUUUUUGUAUUAUCAACGACGGUCGUGUAAAAUUAACGUCGUUGAAUGGAUAUACUACGUCGGUUAUGAAAAAUAUCGUCGUCUGUGAUUGAAUUUCUUUUUAUUUAUAAACCCUAAUAGUCAUUGUUUAUGCAGUAUGCCAAGGGAAACCAGGAAGCUUCAUACCCCCAAGAAGCCAUUGAUGAAGUCCGGAAUGAAUGGGCAGAGUUUGUUUUCCAAAUUAUUAAACAGGGCAAUUAUUGAACACUUGAUAUUUAUGUAUAAUGUACCAAUUUUCUCUAUAAUAUGUAAUGUAAAAAUUUGUUGAGGUUUUCUUAAAUUAAAAAAAAAACAAACAUACAAAUUGCUUAACCGACGUGUAAUACUUUUCCAACGACCUAAUAAAGUCAAUAACCGUCGUAUUUUGUUGUUGCGUGUUUUAAACAAAUACGACGUAAAAAAAUAGUUAGACGACGUUCUUUGAACAAUUGAGUCGUUAAUGGUUUACAAUAUCUUCAAUUUCUUAAGGGUUCAGGGUAUAAUCGACGACGUUUAUGUAACGACUGCGGUUAAGUCGUAAAAUAUAUAUUUUACGUCGUAUAGUUAAAUAGCCGCCAUGGUUUCUCAUUUUAACGACGUCAUUUUAACGACUUAGUAGUCUAUUACAAUUUACAACGUCUACAAUUUAUUAACCACGACGUGGUUUCUUGUUGUGGUAAGAAUAUUUUAUUAUUUUUAUAUCAAAAUAUUCAAAUAAAUAUAAAAUAAAUCAGAAAAUUGAAAAGUCAACUCCUAUGAAGUCAUUGAUAUAUUUUCUUCCACAUAAACCUUGAAAAAAUUCAUUUUGAAUAAUAAAAAUUUAAAAUGACCAUCCAAAACAAAAUUGUUUUGAUGAGUCAUAAAAUCACUUCUAGUUUUAUGGUUUAGGGUUUAGAGUCUAGGGUUUAGAGAUUAGGGUUGUUAUUUAUUGGGGUUUAUUUUUAAAGUAUAAUUUUUGGGUAGUCUAGGGUAUAUGUUAGGCUUUAAAACCAUAAAACCUUUUAUAAACUUAAUUUUUUAAAUUGUAUAAUUUAGUUUUAUGGGUUUAGGGUAUUAAUUUUUAACGACGGUGUUUGGGUCGUGGAAUACAUAUUUUACGUCGUACAGUAAAACAUACGACAUGGUUUACGCUUUAAACGACGUCAUUUUAAUAUGUAAGUCAGUUUAUAUAAUUUACAACGUCUUUAAUUUCUUAACACCGACGUGGUUUUUCAGUCGUCGUUAUAUAAAAAAUUCAAAAUAAAUUUAAAAUUAAUCCGAAAAAUGAAGCUUCAAAAUGAACGGCCUUACGUUCUUAAUCCGAAAAUGAAGUUUCCGUCGUGGAAUAUUAAAUUUACGUCGGUACUUGUAGAACUUUCGCCUUGGUUUUUCUUUCGACGUUUUAAAACGCGCGAGCUCUAAAAAUUUUCGCGCGACCUAAAUUUUUUAAGAUUUGGCUCUUAUUCUUAUACUUCGAACCCUGAAACCUAAAAUUUUCAGAUUUCGCGCGACAUAACAUUUCGCUCUCUCACUUCUGCUCUAAUUAAAAGUUGCACUCUCCAGGCUCCGUCGAAUCUGUGAGCUCGUCCAACCUGUAAGUACAAACCCUAUCUUCCCCUUGUAAAUUCAUUGAAUGAUAUUAGGUUGUUUUGUUAAAGGGUUUUAUGUGUAUGCUUUGCGAUCUGUUAAUAAUGUGCUUAUAGGUAUGGGUUCAUGGAUUUUCUGUUUAAUGGGUUCAUGGAUUACAUUAUCUGUUAUGUUGAAUUGGGAAUGGAUUUAAUUUUGUCGUAUCUUUUAAUCACCCUAUGUUAUGUUGAAUUGGGAAUGGAUUUAUUGUUUUCAUGCUUGGUUUCAUGUAUAUGUUGGUUUCUUGCUUGGUUUCAUAUAUAUGUUGUGUUCUUAAUGGGUUUUGUGUUCUUGAAAAUAAACUGAGACACGACGAAUUUUAAGGCAUACGACGACGAUUACACGACGGUUUUUUUAAACUACCGUCGUUGUAUUACUUAUACACGACGGUUUUUUCAUAAACCGUCGUUUGUAUUACUUAUAAUAGACGACGUCUGUUGAAAAUCCGUCGUCUAUAUAUGCCAAAUACGUCUGUUUUUGUUUAAAACCCGUCGUCUCUGUUGUGUAUUACUUGCGAUUAGAUCAUUGUAUAAUCUGCUAUAGUGAUGGUCAUUGCCUGUAUUUUCACUUUAUUAUAGAUAAUAGGUUAUAGUGUCGGAGAUGGAUAAGUCAUGGAUGCACUCGGAUAGAAGAUCGAAGGCAUAUGAAUUUGGGGUGGAAGCAUUUUUGAACUUUGCUGUAGAAAAUCUUCUAACUACAACACAUAUCCGUUGUCCAUGUGUUAAAUGUGUUAAUUUGAAGUUGUUUGGGGUUGGAAUUAUAAGGGAUCACUUAUACUUUAAUGGAAUUGACCAAAGCUAUAAGAAUUGGACAUUUCACGGAGAACCUUGGGAAGCAACUACUAAUGCUAGCAGAAAUGUUGAAGAAGAUGAUGGCCAUAGUAGGUACAGUUUUGUGUCUGAAGAAAUUGAUAUGGAUGAUAAUGAUUUUGGUGAUUUUGGUUCGGAUCCGUAUGAGUUUGCCAAUGUGAUUGGGGAUGGAGAUCAACCAGUGUACCCUGGUUGUAGAAAGUACACGAAGUUAUCGGCAUUAGUGAAGUUGUAUAAUUUGAAGGCAAAACAUGGGAUGAGUGAUGUCUGUUUUACAGAAUUAUUGAUACUUCAAGGCGAUUUGCUUCCAGAAGGAAAUACAAUACCAACCUCCAUGUAUGAGGCUAAAAAGACUUUGUGUGCAUUGGGGCUGAGUUAUGAGAAAAUGCACGCAUGCCCCAAUGAUUGCAUCUUGUAUAGGAAGGAGUAUGAGGAUUCAACUAAUUGUCCUACUUGUGGUAUCUCAAGGUGGAAGGAAGGCAAAGAUGCAAUCUUGAAAGAGGGUGUGCCAGCGAAGGUGGUGUGGUAUUUUCCCCCAAUUCCAAGGUUUAAAAGGAUGUUUCAAUCACAUGAGACAGCUAAGAGUUUGACUUGGUGGCAUGUUGCUAGAAAAUCAAUUGACGGUCAGAUGUCUCAUCCGGCGGAUUCCCCGUCUUGGAAACUUCUUGAUGAUAAAUGGCCUGAGUUUGGUAAUGAGCCGAGAAACUUGAGAUUGGCUCUUUCAUCUGAUGGAUUCAAUCCCCACAGUUCUCUAAGUAGCAGAUAUAGUUGUUGGCCGGUUAUCUUAGUUACAUAUAAUCUCCCUCCAUGGCUGUGCAUGAAACGAAAGUUCAUGAUGUUAACCUUAUUGAUUUCCGGUCCUAAACAACCCGGAAAUGAUAUAGACGUCUACUUGGAGCCUUUGAUUGAUGAUUUAAAAUCCUUGUGGGUUGGGAUUAGAGGAGUGUAUGAUGCACAUAAUGGAGAAUACUUUACACUCAGAGCUGCAUUAAUGUGGACAAUUAAUGAUUUCCCCGCCUAUGGAAACUUAUCUGGUUGUGUUGUUAAAGGAUAUAAAGCUUGUCCAAUAUGCGGCGAUGAUACACCUAGUCACAGGUUGAAAAAUGGCCACAAAAUUUGUUACAUUGGGCAUAGAAAAUGGUUACCAAUCAAUCAUCCAUAUAGGAGGCAACGUGCAGCUUUUAAUGGGAAACCUGAAUAUGGCAUACCUCCAGAGCCAUUAACUGGAGAAGAAGUGCUGCAUAUGGUUGAAAAUGGUGACAGAGUUUGUUGGAAGAAGAAAUCAAUAUUCUUUGAUCUCGAGUAUUGGAAAUACCUUCCUGUGAGGCAUGCCCUAGAUGUUAUGCACAUUGAGAAGAAUGUUUGUGAUAGUAUCAUUGGUACAUUGCUGGAGAUCCCUGGAAAAAAUAAAGAUGGGAUUGCUGCUCGAUUAGAUUUAUUGAACAUGGGGGUCAAAACUGAUUUGCAACCCGAGUAUGGAGAAAGACGUACUCGUUUGCCUCCUGGGCCUUGGAAUUUGUCAAGAGCAGAGAAGAGAGAGGUUUGCAAUUCUUUCUAUGGUAUGAAGGUCCCUGAAGGUUAUUCUUCAAAUAUUAAAAAUCUUGUAUCUGUACAAGAUUCAAGACUUCUUGGCCUUAAAUCACAUGAUUGUCAUACCUUAAUGCAACAAUUGCUCCCUGUGGCAAUUCGUUCUGUUUUGGAGAAGCCUGCAAGGUAUGCAAUAACUCGUUUGUGCUUCUUCUUCAAUGCUAUAUGUGCAAAGACUGUUGAUGUUUUCAAGCUAGAUAAGUUGGAAGAAGAUGUAGUAGUUACUCUGUGUUUGCUUGAGAAGUACUUUCCCCCUUCAUUCUUUGAUAUCAUGGUUCAUCUAGUAGUACAUCUUGUCAGAGAAGUUCGUCUAUGUGGGCCAGUAUAUUUUAGGUGGAUGUAUCCGUUUGAAAGAUAUAUGAAAGUGCUGAAGGGGUAUGUUCAGAAUCGUACUCGUCCCGAAGGUUGCAUUGCUGAGCGGUAUAUAGCUGAAGAAGCGGUAGAGUUUUGUACUCAGCAUUUAUCUGAUGUUAGUACAGUUGGAGUGCCUUCAAGCCAAAAGAUAGGACUUUCAAAGCCAUUAUUAGGUUGCACAGUGAGCGUAGUUGAUCAGGACCUGUUGAAUCAAGCACAUCUAUAUGUCUUGGAGAAUACGGAGGAAGUCCUACCUUAUAUCGAGUACGUAUGAGCUUUAUUCUUUAAGUUUCCAUUUUAAAUUAUUUCUUAUGUUUAUCUUCUAUAUUUAGGACCGUAAUGCUUGAAUUUUUCGUGUCAUGUAGGCAACAUAUGAUUCACAUCAAUACUGCUUAUCCAAAAUUUAGAAAGAGAACAAAGUGGCUGCAGGAUAAGCACAAUAGCACUUUCAUUCAAUGGCUACGCUUCAAGGUAUAUAUUGUUGAAUAACAUAUUUCUCUUUUAAUUUUCUUCUUAUUUAUAUGUUAGGAUGAAUUAAGAUAUGAUUAAUUUGCAGGUUCAAAGUGAACUUGAGGAAGACAAUCAUGGCGUAUCAGAAAAUUUAAGGUGGCUAGCAGCUGGUCCAAACAUGUCAGUGCCAUUAUAUAGGAGCUAUCUUAUUAAAGGUAUUAAAUUCAAUAUCAAGGCACAAGAUGAUGUGCGGACAACUCAAAAUAGUGGAGUUUAUUUACUUGCACAUACCAUGCAAGUUGCUAGUACCAAGGAUAAAAAUCCAAUUCUCUCAAAUAUGGGUUUCUAUGGUGUCAUUCAAGAAAUUUGGGACCUUGACUACCAAAAGUUUACAAUCCCAGUCUUUAGGUGUGAUUGGAUAGAUAGUUCUGGUCUUGUAGUCGACGAACUUGGAUUUACCCUUGUAGAUUUGAGUAAAAUUGGACAUAGGAAUGACCAAUUUGUUUUGGCUUCUCAAGUCAAACAAAUAUUUUUUGUUGACGACCCGAUGCAUCGUGGUUGGUCGGUAGUGUUAUCAAUGCCUAGUAGAGAAUAUAAUGAUGUUAUUGGUGAUGAAGUAUUAGGUGAUGUGAUAAUUGAGUGUGAGCCAUUUACUAGAGGGAUGCCAAAUGUUGACACAUUUGAUGAACUGGUAGGUGAGUUAGGCGGUCAAAAUAUUCGAGAUGGGUGUGAAGAUAUAUGGAUUGAAUGAUGCUUAUGUAAUUGGCAGUGUAUGACAUUAAUUUUGUAAUAUAUUGUAAUGUGAUUUCUUCACUUUCUACGUUCAAAUAAAACACGACGUUAUUGUGAAUCAGUUAUUCAGCAUAUUUACCGACGUCUUAAAGCAACGUAACAAUGAAGAACCACGACGCUAUUGUGAAGCAAUUAUUCAGGAUAUCACGUCGGUGAAGGAUAAAGAACCGCCAUGUAAUUCAAAAUAACACGACUCCAAUCCCAUAAUACCGACGUCUAAAAAACGAGAUAUAUAAUCUGAACGUUAAAAAAUACGACGUCAUCAUACAUUUUCCACGUCGCAAGUUCUUUUAUAAACGAAGAGGAACGAAAUUAAUUCCAACGGAAAUUCAUUAUAACCGCCGUCUAAUAACAAUUAAACGACGUUAUUUGUAAUACGGCUCCCAUCAUAAUCUACGCCGUCUAUAUGUUCUGUAAUACGGCUCUCAUUUAUUUGGAACCGACGUUGUUUAGAAGUUCAACGUCGUCUAUAUUAUUAAGUGCGUCGUGAGUAAUGAAUACAUAUAAAUACAACGUCGACUAUAUAAAUGUAUACGUCGUAAAUAAUGACACUGACAACUAUUUUCACGUCAUCUUUUUUAGAAAAAUCGAAGUGGAAAAUUUAUUUCACGACGGUUUUUUGUAAAUAAGAGACGUUGUAGAUUUCAAUAACGUCGUCUUCUCAUGUAUUUAAAGACGUCAUAUUUUUUCUUGUCGUGUAAAUUGUAUUUAACGGCGUAGUAUUUUAGUUGUCGUCGUUGUAUGUAUAUCUUGCGGCCUUGUUCUUUUAAUAUGUGUCAUAUUUUUCUUUUUUAACGACGGUGAUUUUUUUGAGUUGGUCGUCUAUUCUCAUCCUCGACUAUUUGCUAGAACUUUAGCAGACUAAACACGUCUGUUUUUAUUGUUUUCCGACGUUGUUGUAUUUAACAACGUCUAAUAUUUAUCGUCGUUGUUUGUUUCUGAAAAUAGGACGUAUAAAUUUUUUAAUACGACUCUCAUAUAUUUGUAACUGACGUUGUUUAGUUUUUCAACGUCUACUAUAGAAACACAUACGUCGUAAAUAAUGACACUGACAACUAUUUUCACGUCAUCUUUUAUCGAAAAAUCGAAGUGGAAAAUUAAUUGUACGACGGUUGUGUUUAUAUGUGCGACGUAGUAGGUAUCAAUAACGUCAUCUUCUAAUGUAUUUAAAGACGUCAUAUUUUUUAUUGUCGUGAAAAUUAUAUUUAACGUCGGCGUAUUUUUAUUGUCGUCUUUGUAUGUCUAUCUUGCGGCCUUGUUCUCUUAAUAUGUGUCAUAUUUUCCCUUUUUAACGACGGUCUUUUUAGAGAAUUGGUCGUCUAUUAUCAUCCUCGAUUGCUUUUUUUAGAUCUUUUUGCAGUACAAAGACGUCGUUUUGUAUUUUUGAUGACGUUGUAUAGUUUAACAACGACGGUUAUUUAGCGUCGUGGUUUAUGAGGGAAAAGAUGACGGUGGAUUCCACGACCAUUGAAAAACCAAAUACACGACGGUGAUUUACCGUCGUCUUUUUGCUUUUUUGUAGUAGUGCUAGAGUCCCUCCCUCAGAAUGGUAUUAAUUUUUUUUUAUUAUAAUUAAUAUCAAUAGAGAAUAUGUGUAUGUUUCUAGUAAGUUUAGAAGUCUUCCUUCCAAAGAUGGUAUAUUAGCUAGUCACGCUUAAGUCUCGAGUUUUAUGCGUAGAAAACGAGACUCAAUCUUUUUAAUGCUAAUUCAUAUACAGGUUGUUUUCUUUCACUCAUGCGACUAUUUGAUUUGGUCCAUCAAAUGAAGAUAUCCACUCACCCUUUCCUUGAAGGGAAGGAAUAUAGUAAAGUUUAUGUAAUGUCUAUGUAUGACAAAGUUGGUUUUCUUUCACUCGUGUAACUACUUGAUUUGGUCCAUCAAAUGAACAUGUCUCAUAUCAUUUCAUUCCAACCCUUUCCUUGAAGGGAAGGAAUAAUGUUAAUAUUUAUGCAUCAACAAAUCACACACACACACACACAAGUCUUCAUAAGCAUAACAAGAGACUAAUUACCAGACAUAAUCUAUCUCUUGCUACCUUCCUAAAUCUCUUCCAUAUUGUUACAUAUAAUUUCUAGGUCUUUCCAAUUAAAUGAACAGGUUGCACCGGUCUCCGUAUUUUCUUCAAGACUGGACUGGUGGAUUGACAAGCUAAGCUAGCUGGAGCGAUUUCAGUGCAAAUGGUCAAGACAAGUUAGUUUCGUUGAUUUGUCUUGUAAUUACCAGACCCCACCCCACCCCACUGCAAAGUGAAAAACGCUCGCAAAAUUCAAGGACACCUCUCUCUCUCUCUCUCUCUCUCUCUCUCUCUGAAACAAACUCCCCGACUUAAGUCCACACCCUUCAACACCUGCUCCACACAAUGCAUGUACAUGUUUCAUCACCCUAUAAGCCAGGCCCCUUAUUACCUACACGUGUGGCUCGCCACGCAAAUUACCCCAUCGCCGCCGUUAAUUCCCCGCCGUAAAACCAAACUACUGCUCACUCCGUUUAAGUUAACGACACUGGGCCCGAGGGGCAUAAUUGGAAACUAUAUUUCAAUGUGACAUUUGCCGAAGCUGCUCCUUUUGACCCAACAACUGUCUCGCUCUGGUUAUCACAACCUUCCCCAUGGCAAGCAACCCAGCCAUGCAAACGCAACUUCUUCCGUCACACCCACUUGUUUGAUCAACACCACCCCCACUACACGUCCGUCACCGUUAGAUUGAAGGUGGUUAAACCCGGUUGAAAAUUUAACCCAAGCAGAGGUCUUGCCACUAUAAAUACCUCCUCUUCUCCUCACUCUCAACUCACUCCAAUAUCCAUAUCCUCUUCUGCUUCAUGGAUAUGUAAUAUCUUAAAGUUUUCAAGUUCUUUUGUGUCAGCAACAGAAACACAAUGUGGAGAGCCGUGCAUCAAGGUUACUAUGAGCUGCCCAACCCGUACCUGAGCCAGUACCCGUACCAAUACCAGUACCAGUAUUAUCCGGGUCACCUGAUGGGUCCGGCCCAGUACAACGACCCGAUCAUGGACAAUGCAAUCUACGGGUCGGACGAGUUCCGGAUGUACGCCUACAAGGUCAAGCGGUGCCCUCGCAUGCGCAGCCACGACUGGACCGAGUGCCCCUACGCCCACCGUGGCGAGAAGGCGCAGAGGCGCGACCCGCGCCAGUACUCGUACGCCGCAAUCGCGUGCCCCGCUUACCGGAACGGGAGGUGCCACAAGGGGGACCUCUGCGACCUCUCGCACGGCGUGUUCGAGUACUGGCUCCACCCAGACAGGUACCGCACCCGCGCAUGCAAUGGGACUCCGCAUUGCAUGCGUAGGGUGUGUUUCUUCGCGCACACCCCUGACGAGCUCCGCCCCGAGCCCGAAUUUUACCCACGCAAGUUCUAUGUGCCGCAUCCAUACGAUCAGUACCCGCGCCGCCCGUACCGUCCGCAUAACUGUGCGUACCGGGCGGUCCAGGCGGGAAGGGGGAUGUACGGUGGUGGACAUCGAGGCGGCAGGUCAGCGACCGUGGAGGAGUAUGAGAUGAUACUGAAGAACAAGAAGAUUAUGGACGAUUCUUUUGGAAAGGUGGAGAGUUUCCUGAACAGUCUGAGGUCCUUGACGCUGAGUGAUGAGCCUUUCGAAUUCGAAGACGAGAUUGAGGCGAUGGAUAUUUAUGAGAUGGUGGAGGCAGCACCAUCGGUUUCGGAGCUGCCGGAGUUCGACUGGGUUACAGAGCUGUUGCAGUAAAUAAUUCUCUCACUAGAGAGAGGAGGAGAUUAUCAUUAUGGGAGUCGCUGUGUGAAGAAGAUUAGUGUCUGUAUGUAUUUUCAGUUUGCUGUGUUUGAAUUUCAGUGUAUGUACGAGUCGUCGUCGUCGUCGUCGUCUGGUGGUCAACCAGUGCCGUGUGUUGUAGUAAUAUUGUGGGUUUGAAGCUAUGUAUGUGUCAUGUAAUGAAAUAAAGAACAUGUAAAUCAUGUUCAGCUGAAUCCCUUGUAAAUGUGGACUUUAGUCCCUCUUAUCUUAUGUAAAGAAGGUUCAGCUCAAUCAAUAAAUAAAUAAUAAUGUUCCUGUUUAAAUAUUAUGUUCUCCUUCCUUAAUUUCCUCCACUUUCAUUCAUUAUUUCAAGCUCAUUUAAACAUAAUAAAAAAAAUUUAAAUACAAGGAAUCAAACAAGAUCUUGGGUGCAAGUGUGAAUGUCCCUUAAUAAAUCCCUUACCAACACGAAAUAAAUAAGAACUUUUUUUUCUUUUUAAGUGGAGUGACCAAUUAUGGUUAAAAUGUUCUUGCUAACUUUUUGAACAAACAAGCCAUAGGAUUUUAUUGUAUUAAUUGAAAACGUAUAUGGAGAGCCAUAGUAUUUUAUUGUAUUUAUUGUAGCAAUACGACGAAUAUGGGUAAAGCGUCCCCAAUGACCAGAGUCAACUCUAGAACUGAAAGGAUUUGGAGAGAAUAAAUCAUAAAGAACUUGUCCAAAAAUUGUUAUCUACCAUCUAAGUUUUCCUAGAUCAAGUUAGUUACAUCAAGGACAAAACAUGACCACUAACCGGCAUAACUCUCCUAGAGAAACUAGACCACCCAGCAAAUUCAACAAAAUUUCUGGAAUUACAAGAGAAAACCAGACAACUCAUAGCCCUGUCUGGUUCACGAAACGGAUUUGAGAGGAAAUCACUUCCCAGGUCAUUUCCCAAUGGAUGGGAAAUGGGGAUUCCUUUCCCAUGUUUGUUAAUCCUAGGAAAGUAACCAAGAAAUACCACUUUAUUUCAUUUCACAUGUUUGGUUUGUGUAGGAAUGUAAAACAAAGUUUGUUUAAUUUUCCAAUUACACCCAUAUGAAAUCAAAUAAAAAAAGAUGCAUGUAAUGCUAUAUUGUCAUUCUAAAUUGUUAAUGGGGACAAUAUGGUCAUGAAAAAUGUGUAUUUAAUAUUGACUCUUUUUCCCAAACUUUCCCAUGAGGAGGGAAACAAAACCCAAUGAGGAAGGAGGGCUUCACUUUCCCCAUACUUUCUCAUGUGUAAGGCAACGAUUUCCUAUACUUGGACUUACCAAACAUGAGAAAGCAAUUGUUUUUCCAUCCCCAAGCCGCCUUUCUCUUAACCAAACGGGGCCAUAGAGUUUCUGAACUUUAAUAACAAACUACGCAAAAUCUAAGAAACCAAAGAACACCGACUCAAGGAGCAGCAAACUUUGCUCUACAAAUGAUGCACAACCACAACCAUCCAUAUCCAUAACAAAGACAACCAAUCUGCCAAGAGUAGAGAAGAGCAUCAUGGUUUGCCAAGGCGCACGGGAAAAUACCGAAAAUUCGACAGGGAAUAAACCCCUAAAUGUGAAGCUUCUCGUUCUAACUCUCCUCCACCCUUUACCACAUGCUUUGCUAUGAAAGUUGACAAGAUCAGAGCUAGUCACAACCAAGUGUGCAAAAAAGAAAACAAAAACAAAAAAACAAAAAAACGAAACCAAAAGGAGCAAGAGGAAAACAUGAGCAAGGAUGGAGGGAGGAAGGGAAGGGAAAUGGGAAGCCACUGGCCCCAAAGGGAGCGGCGGCUCCUAGGGUUUCUUCGCUUUUUGUUUUUUUUUCUUCUUUAGAACUUCUAUCUAUAUGUUCUUGUUAACUUAGAAGACAAUAAUAUCUACAAAUUUAAAUAAUAUAUUUUAGUAAAAAUAUAAGCUUUUGUAUUCCUUUUAAAUUAAUUAGACAGAUAAAAUUUGUACUUAUAGUUGAAUUUUGAAUUUUUACGAUUAAAUGGUUAAGAUAUCAUGUUUAUUGAAAAAUAAAUUGGCGAGGGAAAUUUUUUUGUGCGACAACAUUGAGAGGUAAAAUCUUAUAGUACGUGUGGUUGAAGUUAUAAUUUGAUUUAUGUCCUCUUUUGCAUGGUCUUACCAUUUUAAUGCUUAUACUAGGCGACAACCGCUAUUUCAACCACGGUUUUACCAUUUAAAUGCUCAAAUUAGGCAACAACCAUAUAUUCGCGCGCGAUCUUACAAUUUGAAUGAUCGAACUAUGUGACAAAUGAUUCUUUCGCGGGUGGUUUUAACAUUUGAAUAUCAAACUAGACGACAAACUAUUCUUUCACAAUCGAUCUUAUCUUUUGAAUGCUCGAGUCAGGCGACAAUCAUUCUUCGCGUGUGAUCUUACCAAAAAUGAUCUUACUAGCGACAAAUGAUUCCUUUUCAUACACGAUCUUACCAUUUGAAUAAUCAAACUAAGCGACAAACUAUUCUUUCACGUUCGGUCUUACCUUUUGAAUGCUCGAAUCAGACGAUAAUCAUUCUUUCGUGCAUGAUCUUACCAUUUAAAUGAUCUAACUAAACCACAAGCAAUUCUUUUACACGUGAUCUUACCAUUUGAAUAGUCAGACUAAGCGACAAGUAUUCCUUAGCGCACAAUUUUAUCAUUUAAAGUGCUCGGGCUAGGCGACCACCAUCUUUAUUUCGAACGUGGUCUUACCAUUGGAACAUUCAAACUAGGCUUAGAUUAAGGUGUUUUUUGGGUGCAUUUUAAAUCUGUUUCUUAUUUUGCUUUUGGAUUAGUAGUUCUUGUCACUAACUUGUGUAUGUGUGGAUUUUUUAUUCUUUUUAAUUGUACUGAAUGUAUCCCACAAGCUUUAGGUUUUUUACGGUAGAUACUAACUGCGAGUAAGAGUUUUGUUUUAUCAAAGAGUAAAACGAAUAUUGAUAUUACGAAUUAAUUGUAAUAGAUUAAUCCUUUGAUUCUCUGCACAAAAACUUCUUCCACAAACACAAAGCUAUUACUAGUUGACGCAUCUAGUGAAGCUAGUCCAACUGUGUAUAUAUAUAUAUGCAUGUAACGUUCGAGUUGACAGCUGCAGACAUGGACGAAAUAUAAUAUCAAAACUUGUAACUCAUGCAUGCACUACACACCCAAAACCCCCUCACGUUUCUCAUCUCAUCCUCUAUAUAAAAUGCUCUAUAUAUAUAUGCUGACAUGGACUGCGUUCAUGGCCCCGCCCCCCGUCCAACUAAACCAACUCCCCGACAACCUCUACCCGCUUCAUCACCACUCGCCACCGCCACCUUCCUUCUCUUCUACGUGCCCUCAACUUAUCAUAUCCUCCCAAUUUUACCAUAAUAUCCCCUCCCCUUGUUUUUUCAUUUCAUUCCAAAAAUAUAUCCCCAUUUCAUCUUCAGCCAUGCCCUCUCUCCCAAGGUAACAUUUUAUUCAUCAUCAAUUUUUCUUCUUAUAAGAAUUAUAAUUGCUCUUACUCUAUCGGUGCUUUUUGGUUGAAUUUUCAGGUGGAAAUUGAAUCAAGUCAAGCAUUGUUGUAACAACAUUAAUGACAGUGACGACCUGGAAGACCCAAUCUUCAAUUCCAAAGAAUGCUACGCUUGCACUCAGGUUGGAGUUCCGGUUUUCCACUCCACCCGCUGCGACCCGACCCACCAACCUCAACUCCGGUGGGAGCGCACCGCCGGGUCUUCCAUGACCCGGACGGACCUCAAAUGCCGCCCUCAGGACCUCACCCGGCCUCGCGCCAUUGACCCGCGUAGCAGCAGCGUCAAAAGCUGGAACCGCAUUGUGCUCAUGGCACGCGGCCUGUCCAUCGCCGUUGAUCCUCUUUUUUUUUACGUCAUGGCGCUGAGCCAGAUUGGGGCUCCCUGCUUUUACAUGGACGUGGCGCUUGCCCUCGUCGUCACCGUCGUUCGUACCUGCUUGGACGCGUUGCACGUGGCCCACAUCUUGCUUCAGUUCAAGUUGGCUUACGUGUCGAGGGAGUCGAUGGUGAUUGGGUGCGGGAAGCUAGUGUGGGGCUCACGUGAUAUUUCUCUUCAUUACAUGCGGUCCCUCAGGGGCUUUUGGCUCGAUGCCUUUGUCAUUCUACCGAUUCCUCAGGUGCCCCCCCUUCAUUUCAUUUCAAUUAAUCCUUUUAUUUUCCAGAAAGAUUUCAAUUCUCAAUCACUUAAAAAUUUUGGGAUUAUGAUAAAUUCAUGAAAAUUUUGGUAAUGAUGGCAUGAAAUGGAAUUAAUACGUGCUAUUAUUUGUAUCAUAUUUUAAUAUCAGCAGGUAUAUAAGUGAGAUUCCUUUGUAUGAGUUGGCCUCACCUGUAUUAUUAGAUAUGCGGUAUUUUUUUUUUUGCCAUUAGAUAUGUGGUAAUUUUUUUUUAGCCAUUAGAUAUGUGGUAAUUAAACCUAACAUUACUCUAUUUAUUUGGUAGAGUACAUCUUAUGAUAAUUUUACUUAGCUAGUGUUAUUCGCUAAAGUUCUCGAUUCUUCCAUACAGGUAGGUUCUUGUUGUUUAUCUAUAAUUUUUAUAUGUUUCGGGUACACCAUGUGACUUUUACCAUCCAAUACAUAGAGGACAUGUGGAAUUAUUCUUCAACUUACUGUAUUGUUUUUUAUGAUUUGUGACUAGCUGCAUAUUAGAAAUAUUCCAUAUGUCCUACGUCUAUUGGAUGAUACACCAGCCACAUUGUGUACCAGAACACCCAAAAAUUUAGUCCAGUUAUCUAAGUUUCAAAGUUUGACUCUCAAAUUUCAUAUGUAUAUUUGUUUUGCAGACCAUAAUUUGGUUAAUUGUGCCAAGGUUGCUUAGGGAGGAAAAGACUAGACUGAUAAUGACGACCCUCUUAAUAACCUUCCUGUUUCAAUUCAUCCCCAAGCUCUACCACAGCGUUUACUUGGCCAAACGACUCAAGAAGGUCACAGGCUACAUCUUUGCAUACGGCAACAUUUGGUGGCGUUUUAAGCUCAACGUCAUUGCCUACUUAACGGCCUCACACGUACGUAACCCUGCUCUAAUCCUAUAUUCUAUAUACUAAUUCCAAUCCUAAUGAAGCUGUGUUGGUUUAUUAUAUUCAGAUUGCAGGAGGGUGUUGGCAUGUGCUUGCAACACAGCGUGUAAUGUCAUGUCUCCAGCAACAGUGUGAAGCAAGUAGAAACUGUAACCUCUCUAUCUACUGCUCAAAACAAGUUUUUUCAUCUGGAAAGCUCUCUGGUGGCAAUGCAUUCACAAAGAUAACGACAAUGUGCUUGGAUGAAGAUACUACAUUUGGGUAUGGAAUUUAUAAACCCCUACUCGUGGUCUAUGCUGGCAACACACUCGCCGUUCGGAUCCUUUACCCUAUAUAUUGGGGUUUAAUUAACCUCGGGUAAUAACCUAUCAAUCUACUUAAUAAUUAAUCUCCUAAUCAUAAAAGCAUAUUUUAUUUUAUACCUCUUGGCAUAAAUUCAUUUGCAGCUCCUUUGCCAACAACCUUAUCCCUACAAGUGACUGGCUUGAACUCAUAUUCUCUUGCUGUGUAACGCUUGCGGGCUUGGGUCUCUUCAUUACAUUGCUUGGAAAUAUCCAGGUCACCCAGAACAGAGAUUUUCAUAGUUAAUUAUAAUAACUAAUUACUUAAUGCUGAUUGUUGAUAGUGUUGUGUUGUAUUAUUGUGUAGAUAUUUCUGCAUUCGGUGAUGGAAAAUAAGAAGAAAAUGCAGUUGAAAUAUCAGGACAUGGAAUGUUGGAUGAAGCGAAGACAGUUGCCAUCUCAUUUGAGGAAGAGAGUUCGCCAUUUUCAACGUUGCAGUUGGGCAGCCAUGCAAGGGCUAGAAGAGCUUGAGUUGAUCCAGCAUUUCCCCGAUGGCCUCCGCAGGGACAUCAAGGGUUACCUUUGCCUAGAUCUUGUCAAGCAGGUAACACCUUAAGUGACCUUGAUUUUGUGACAAAUUUUAUUCAACCUUUUGUAUCUCUCUAAAAUUACUCAUCUAAUUAAUCAUUAUUAGGUACCGCUAUUUCAUAAGUUAGAAGAUGUUAUUCUUGACAACAUCUGUGAUCUUGUACGGCCAAUUAUCUACUCCAAGGGUGAAAAGGUACGAAACUAUAGCGUCAUAUAUAUAUAUAUAUAUUUGUUUGAGUGUUGCUACGUAAAUACAUACGUAUAUAGUUGUCUACUGCCGAUGCAUUCUAGACAAUUAACUUUAGCAUUUCUCCAUUUAAUUUAAUGUUGAUGAUGUUUUGUGACAUGUAAUAUACCUUCAUUUAAUUAUAUUACUUUUUGGCAUGAAAUGACUACAUAGUUGAUUAGAGAAGGUGACCCCGUACAAAGAAUGAUGUUCAUAGUUCGUGGACAUAUAAUACGCAGUCAAGGCCUCAGCAAAGGGUUCCAAGCCACCAGUGUGCUUGAACCAGGCAGUUUCUUCGGUGAUGAGCUUCUUUCAUGGUGCCUUCGCCGCCCGUUUAGCGGUCGACUUCCUCCCUCUUCAGCAACAUUUACUUGCAUGGAAUCAAUUGAGGCGUUUGGUUUGGAUGCAAAUUGUCUUCACUACAUCAUCGAUCAUUUUCGUUACAAAUUUUCAAACGAAAGGCUCAGACGUACAGCGAGGUAUUAUUCGUCGAAUUGGAGAACGUGGGGGGCUGUGAUCAUACAACUUGCUUGGCAUCGUCAUAGAAUGAGGACUAAGGGUGUGAUAAUGGUGCAAAGUGGGGACAUUGCGAAUCGGCUUCGGCUAUAUGCUGCUUUCUUUUUGUCGCUAAAGCCACAUGACCAUCUUGACUAGAACCUUUUUGGGUGUGUUAAUCAUAUAAUAAAUGCACAACUUGUGCAGUGUGUAUCAACAAUAAGAGAGAAAAAAUAUGUUCUAAUCGAUUCACCAACACCAGGAUGCCUAACCUUUACGGAAACUUCAGGCCCAAAAAAAAAAAAAAAAACUUUACGGAAACUACUAUGGCUUUACCUGUUGACCAAUGAGAAUGAGGUAUUUCCUCUAGCAGAAUCUGGAUCGAAACGACUCUCCUGUCGAACCCCUUUUUGUCUGUAUGAAUUUCUGAACGCGCGGAGCACCGGCCGAGCGCCCUGAAUGAAUAAGAAAUGGACAGCAUAGGGAAUCAAUGAUUCUUAUUCAACCGAUAUUUCUGGCUUCUAGCAACGGCAUUUGCAACUUUCCUAAAACCUCUCAACGUCAAAAAUCUGCGUUGAAUCAUCAGAAAUCAAAGGCGAUAGAAUCAUCAGAAAAAAUAAAUAAAUAUAAAAUAGAAAAAAUAAAAAAUUCGGCCUAGGCGCUAGGCGCCCGCCUAGGCGGCUCUAGGCGGUUUUUAUUUUUUAUUUUAUUUUUUAUUUAGCCCUCACGCUGUCGCCUCCUUCAUCAUAUUCAAGAAAAUCAAGCUCUUUAAUUACAGAAUAUUGUGCCUGAUAACUAUGACAAGUUUAGAUCAAUAUGCAAGAAGAGAGAAAUUAACUGAAGAAACAGAGCUCACAAGUAUUCUUUUCUUCUUCUUCUUCUUCUAUUUCAUUUUUUUACUGUAAAAACAUAGAAAUGGCUUCGAGGCGAAAUGCAUAGUAGAAAUCUGAGUCUUUUGAGCAGCUUAAGGAAUUUUGUGAGGGCAUGUGGUCAGAUUCUGAGGCAAAGAGAUCUUGAAGACCAAACUCAUCCAUUUUCUCUGCUUGGUUUUGUGUUUCAAGCGAAGUUGUUUGUGAAGUCUGAGUAGAAACAGAGGAGGUCAAGGAGAGGACAUUGCGAUGGAAAAGAGAAGCUUCGCAUUCUGUGCUGAUAAAAUCUUCACCUUCACUCCUCUCGCUCUCAGUCUUCUUUCUGCAGCUCCAUUAACUUAUAUGCAUGUUGGACACUUUUCUUUACUGUCUCAUUGGAAAAGAAAACAGGAUACCUUAGGUUAAUUUUUUAAUGCUUUUUAAACCCCCAGUAGUAGAUAAAAAGAAUAUUUCUUUAAAUGAUAUUCCAAGUUGAAAACAUCUAUUCUAUUUGUAUUUGUAUAAUUUUGUACCCCAUAAGAAAAAAUAUUAUUUGUAUUUGUAUAUCUACCACAAUAUUCAUAUGUGUUGUUAUUUUUUCAAAUAGGACUACAUGUUAACUGAUCUAAUAAGAAUUUAUACCAUUAUAUCGAAACAAAUGAAACAAUAGAUAAGCGAGGGGAGUGAGCUCACACCAUUGCACCCAAAUUUGAAUCCCCUCUUCAGAAAUUAGAUUUAUUUCAAACAAUUUAAACUCUCGUUUGCAUAAAAAAAAAUAUAUAUAUUUUAAAAAAAUGAACACAAUCGAAAACGAACCUAGUAACAUAAAACAACUCCCACUGCCCCAGUUAUUUGUGGAUCUAGUUGAUCAGAAGAGCUGCAUAAAUGAAUUAAUGAUGCUUAUGCAAUGAAAUUUUCAGAAUAAGAAUGACUUAUUUUCAUAACAAAAACAAUGAACAGUGACUAACCAGUUGAGUCAAACCCUUAAUCUAGCACAUUAUAUAUUGCAACUGGGUGAUCAGUAUUUGAUGUUGCUGUUAAAUAAAAUUUUCAGUACUUUAUACCAAUGGGAUUGAAAUAGAAUAGUUUUGUUUCAGUUGGCUAAUGGAAAACAAACAAAUUGAUAAUUAAUCAGACAUAUAAAAGUAAUGAUUUUGUUAAGAAACACGGACAUUUGUGGUAUGUAUCUUCCCAUGGUGCGGGAUAAAUGCCGGUACAUUUAGAAAGAAGGCUAUCGAAAAAUCGGCCUAAGAGGCCGCCUAGGCCGGAGGAGGCCGCCUAGGCCGGAGGACACCGCCUAAGGGUAGGCGCCAGGCUGCCUAGGCAGGUCGGGUCCAUUUAUUUAUUUUCCUGACUUUAAAGAAAACCUAUUGUCGCCUCCUAUUCUGUGUGUGUGUGUGUGUCUCUCUCUCUCUCUCUCUCGCGAGUCGACCACCACCACCAAGCCGCAACUACCCCUCGCCCACCCGCUGCAAAAUAUAUAUAUUAACACUGGAGAGGUAGAAUUAAUGCAGGUUGCAAACGAAGCGCGCGAUACUUAGAAUACCAUGGUGGAUAUGGAUGAAGUAAAACAGAUCCAACUAAGACGUGUACCACUUUAAAUCAAAGCAUCGUUUGCCUCUUUGGUCUUCGAUACGAACAGUUCAAUCAUUCGAAUAUAAGUGAGUUUGUGACAUAUCACAUAUAUAUCUAUCUACAAUUUGCAUGAAUUUGUAUUAAAAAUCCCAAUCCUCCUUCCUUCCGUUGGAGAAUCAGGAGUUCAUUUCCUUGUAGUUGACCGAUUGGCUAGGUACACAGAAACUUGACAAAUUAAUUACCUCUUUCAGAACUCGAGAUUACAAGUCUUAACUUAUGUUUUGGACAUACACACGUACAAUAAAUACUUUAUAAUUAACAAUCAAUCCCACCAAUUAGAGAAUUCUCCAUACCCUCCAACAUGUCCAAAAUCCCACAAAACGGGGAAUUAGAACCAUGCCUUCCUGUGUCUACACAAACAAAGCAAGCAAUAGGAGGCCGGCUGCCACUCUACUAAACUCUCUCUGAUUAUCUCACUGUAAAAUAUAUGUACAUGCCUUUAUAUGAAACAAAUACAAACAUUGAAACAUCCAUUAUCGAUGAGGUAAAAAACAGAUUUGAACAAUUAAUACUUUUUUCUUGGAAGAUCCAAGAAACACUGGAAAGUACCAUGCAUUGCGACACGUAUUACAGAGUCCCAAGUAGCUAGCUAGCUAGCUAGCAAGCAAACACCUAAAUUCUUCUUUCCUUUUUCUUUUGGCUAAAGUUUCCUGUUUUUCGGUGGGAGCGCAUAUGCUCAUCAAUCGCGCAGAUUCGACAAGCAAAUAUUAUUAGGGCAGGAAAGGGGAGGAAAAUAUGGAAAAUACACAAUUUAUUGGUCUUUUUUGGAAGGAAAAAAGGUCCCAAAUAUUCAACUCGUUACAAGAGAAAACACAGAAAUAAACGUACAUUAAAUUAACAAAAUAACAGACAGACAGAGACACAUUCACUAAAACAACUCAAUACACACGAAAUUACACACACACACACAACCAAUGGGAGGGCCUGAUGAUCUAUAUAAACUCCAAUUAUUAUUGUCGCCUGAUGAUCAACUACAAGGAGUUGAUGGCAGUGCAUGCAGAUAGUAUUUAAGAACUCUGUUGCUGACCAGAGGGAACAUGCUGUUGGCCAAAUUGCUCAGCCCUGUCCUUAAUAUCCCUCGCCUUCCCAGCCAGCUUAUGACGAGCCUGGUCCAGUUGGUCAGCCCCUGGUGGCUGUUUCCCAGUGACGUACUUGUAGAUCCACGACAACACCGUGACGGCCGCCACACCGAAUCCACCGGAAGUCAAGAACCCCAUCGUUAUCAGCGCCACGGUGAUCAAAGCAGGGACAAGAACAGGACUGAAUAUGACGAGCAGCGGAGUGGCAAUGGUCAAAGCAAUGACCGUGCCAGCAAGGACCAACCCGGAGAGCACUAGCAGGGAGCCACCCGCGGUGACUGCAGUGGCCGCCUUGGCCACCUGGUAAGACCGCGGUUGCUGCUGGCCAUAGCUGCCUUGGAAAUGAAGGGGCUGCUGGAAGUGCUGAUCGGCCAUUUUCUCAAUUUGAUGAAAAAUUUGGGUGUGAUUUUAAGCACAAAAUGUGCAAGUCUCGGUGAUAAUGGGUGCAUUGGUGAGUUAGGGUUUAUAUAAGAGCGAGGACAUGAGGUGGGGUGGCACGUGUUGAGGGAAGGAAGGGCACGUGUUGAGGAGCUUCUCAUGCAGGGGCUGCAUGUAAUGAACUGGCUUCGUUUCGCGACACGUCGUUUGUCAUUAUUUGAGUGAUCUGUUGAGGAGUAGAGAGUGUUGAGAUUAUUGGGAAGGGUGUGGAGAGUUCGAGGACAUCAGAUGAGCAUGAUCAUCAUCUUCCUCUUAUAUAUUAAGUUGGGCUAAGCCCCAAUUGAUUUCAAAUUUCAUAAGUUUCAGUCCAACCCAACCCAAAUCACAUACUGGACUGGACCCAUUUUGAAUCAAGUUCCUGUGGAUUUGGUUGAGCAAUUGAGAGGAUGUGUUUAAUCACCUUUGUAGACUGUAGAUGAGAAAAGUUGUUCAACUUGUUUAAUCGCCCGUGUUUUGAAGUAUCAAAUGGGACAAAAGUUGAAGAAAAUGGACAUGGAAUUUGCAAUUGCGGAGGCCAAUGGAGUUGGUUAAAGUUGUGCAUCCAUAUCCAAAAGUUCUUUCCCCUAAUUAAGUUAUAGCGAGUGCGGUUCUUAUGAAUUGAAAUAACAAGUUCAAAAAAGUAGAGAUGACUACUUUUAAUUUAAAUGGAAGUUGUUCAUGGAAACCUUUCCUUGAUGACCUUGACCUUCUCUCUUUCUUAAUAAAUACCUUUGAAAAAUAAGCUUUCCACUACGAAGAUCAAUUCCACAAUGUAAGAGAAGACGCGAUCAUCAAAAUUAAUGCUGUCUGCAGAUAAUCUUUUGACCAGGUGUUUCUUUCUUGUUUCUGAAUUUGAUUCCUUUCACUUUAAAAUUUAGCAAAAACAAAAAAAAAAACCGUUACUAAUCUACUCUAAACGAGUAAUGUUCUAUUAUCAUAUUGUAGUUUUGCAUUUGUAGAAAUUCAAUGACAUAAUAAGUAUUUUCGUCAAUUUCGAGUAAAAACUAGUCUAAAACUUUCCUCAUUUUAUAUUAUGGCUUGAAAUUUGCCCUAAAAGUAACUUUUAACGUUUUUUUCUUCUCUCAUAUGUAUGUCACAUUCACAAAAAAUUUAAUUAUUUUAUCGGUGAUUUAAAUUGAGUGUCUAAACUGUUUGCAAGAGGAAAUUUUCCUCUACUUAAAAAAAAA